rnacentral:lncRNA from 1 species
UUUUAACUAAGUCAGCUUGAUAACCCUCCUUUCAUUCUCAAAUACUACAUUCACAACUAUUACUGAGACAUAAAGCAGCACUGGCGGAGGAUGGGAUGCUUAGCCUCCCCAGAGACUAAGCCUGUGGUACAGGAAAUACAGAACUUAUUCACCAGGUUUCCAUCUUGUACAGUUCAUCUAUAUAGGGAAAAGAGAUAGAAGGUGUGUCCAAAUUUGUGGAAAAUAAAAGGAAAAGAGAGGACGCGAAUUCCCAGCCACAAAGGAAUAAGUUCAACAUACUACACACUAAAUGAAAAUGUAAGACAUGGCAAUUAGAUAUAAUCUAUCAAGUAAACAAGGAAAAAGGCAAACAACAAACAGAAGUGCAAAAAGAUUUUUUUUUUUUUUUUGAUAUCAUGAAAAUUCCAUCAGCUCGAGGUUACUCAUUCAAUUCCUUAGAUUUUACAAUCAAAUGUGAGGAACUCACCCACAUAUUUGAGAAAGCCACAAAUUAAACUGAGAAUGCGUUAAAAUCCAAAUCAAAUAGCUUCUAACAACUUUGAAAAUUGCAUCAUGAUGUAUUUUCAUUUCUAAAGUUCUAAAAUUAUGGUUUCAAAUAUAAUUUUUUAAGUGAAUUAACCAGUUCCAUCCAUCUGUUUGGAUGUUGUAAUUUUGUUUCUUUUCAAGGUCAGUUGCAAAGAAAGGUGUUAGGAGGUGCUUUCAAUCUCAUUCCCACUCAUAUUUGGCAUGCGGCAACAAGCAGCAUGAAGCACCAACCUUCCUUAACAUUAUUUAAUUUGCACUUUUUAUACCAUCACUCUCUAUCCACCAAAACUGAGACGAACUUUUUCUCCUCCGUUUAUUUGAUGAAGAAAACUUAUUUUUGCAAGUAAUAACAAUCGCAAUUAUUGCUGUUCGUUAUGAUUUCCAAAAUCCAAAUAAUACCACUCUCUUAAUGCAAAAAACAUAACUAGAUAUAGCCAUUUUCUGCACCAAAUUAAAAAAAUAAAAAAUAAAAAAAGAAGAAGAAGAAGAAGAAGAACUGCGGAAUACUGAUUGAAAUGAAACUGAUUCAGGUUUAGGAUGUUGCCCACUUUCUUUCAGAUGACUGAGCAUGACAGAUGGAUACUGGCAUACUAUCAUUUGCCCUUCUACUCACUAUCUAACCAUUCUUAUAAUGCAAAACAUAAAUGAGAAUCAAACACGUAACCCAUUAAUUUGAUGAACCAAAGUUGGAAAGGGGAAUAAUUCCUACCAUGAUCAUCAUAAUUCAAAUCAGCAUUUCAGCACCAUCAUAAUCAAAUAACAUUGAGAGAGAAAUUAGCCAAUUCAUAACCACAUCAGAGAUCCAGGCGCCUUCAAAUAUUCUCAAGUCAAGUCAAGAGCACUUCAAAACUAGCAGCUAAAGAAUAUUGAGGAUAGAAAUGCAAAUAAAAGUUUCCAAGAAAAAAAAAUUAUUACCUGUAAGAUUCUCCUGAAGCCAUUUUGAGUUUUUGGGACUUAUAUGGCUAUCCCACCACCAAGAAUAUUUACGUUUAGAAUCUGCAAUCGCCGCAGCCGCCAUAACUCAAUCCAAGAACACCACAACUUUCUAAUUCCGAUGAGAUGAAACUAAUCUAAUUGAGAUAAUAAAUGAUGAUCCAGCAAAGAGCCAGAUGUAUACAACCAACAGCCAAUCAAUUAAAAGACUGAUGGCCAGUACAAAGCUUGCUAAGCGUCUGACUAUCUGAACCUGAAACAAAACCCGAGAUAAAUCAGUUUCUGAAUGAACCACUAAAGAUUCAAGAGAUCAGAUCCUUUAACCUUAAACAAAAACUGUAGUUCAAAAGUUACCUGAUCACUAGAAUUAAUUAUUUAUAAAAGAGAACCACUGUCUUCAAAAUUUUUUAAAAGAAACCUGAUCAAAGCAACAUCACCACAAAGCAAAAUGAAAAAGUUAGACGGUGAAUUAUACGCUGGAAAAAAAAUCCAAUAUUAUGUAUUUGAUCAGUGAAUUAUAACUAUAAUAACAGUACGAUGACGAUCCCACACGCCAGAUGUCACAAAAUAGCUACUCGCCUACUAGUCAAGGGUUCAAAAGCAACAGAAAAAGAAGAAGAAGAAGCACUUGAUCAAAGGCAAAAUGAUCAGGGGAAAAAAAACUAUACACACAUGAAACACAUAAAUAGAGCCACAUGAUAAUUGACUUUCAUGCACGGCGAAAUUAAUCUUCAACGGAAGUGGAUGUAACAACCCAAGCGGCCAUGACUCAAACAUUAAAAGAAGAAAAAGAAAAACUCACCAAUUAGCAGAGACAACAAAAGAGCCUCAGCUGCAUGUUCUGAUCUUCGUUCUCGAGUCUACCCCAUGUUUGAUAGAUCUGUAGGCGUCGCUCUGUAACUGGCUCGUUCUCCCUCUAUUUGAUGUUUGUUAGCUUACUUUUUAUGCUAUUUGUUUUGUAAUACAAGAGGAAAGUUAACAAAAAUACGCUUUGACAAAUCCAAUUUCCAUAUAAACAAUAAAAUUUUAAAAAAAAAAGUAACUUACGAGUCGAGUGUACUAACUACAAGUAAUUCCGUCGUCAUACGCUGUGCUGGUCUUAUUUAAGGAAAUGAUAAAAUGAAAUGACCAAGUUGUCCUUACUCUUUGUUGAGAAAUUCAAAAAUGUUUUUUUCUUGGUUGUUGUAUUCUGUUGCCAUGUUCAGCGGAUUCCCUCUGGAUUUCUUUCAUUAAUUCCCGAAAUUGGAAGAAGAAUUCCACUCCAGUUGUGACGUUCCUACGUCCUCUUGUACAGUUUCUAAGGCCAACUUUUGCUACAAUCAGAUGUUAAGAUGUGCAGUAGCGUCAAACCAAUAAGUCAACCUUGACCAUGUUUGUGGUUAGUUUGGCCAUUUUAUUUUAAUUUUUGAUUUAAAAUAUAUUUUUAAUUUUAUAGGUCAAUGCUAAUAAGUGUCUGUUAAAUUAUCUGAAAUUAUUUUUAAUAUUUUCAUAGAUACGAUUUCCAUCAUGCAUAUCGAUCAAUUGGAUUGUUUCUUUGUAGAUUUCGGUAUAAAAUCCAUAUACUAAAAUUAUUAAAAUAAUAUACUAAUUAUAGUAGCUUUAAUACUUCAUUUGUUUUCGUAAAAUAACUUGCAUAAAAAUGAUUUGAUGAAAAAUAUUUUUCAUUGUUAUUGAAAAAAAAAAUUUCAAAUUACUUAUUUUCCAUUGUUUAGUUAUAAUUUUAAAAAUUAGUUACAAAUAUUAAAGUUUUUAUCUUUUAAGAACAUAAAAAUAUUAAUAAUAAUAAAAUUUUAUAAUUUUAAAAAAUUAUUGUUAAAUAUAAGAAGAAUGUAAAAAAUAUAUAAAUUAUGAAAGCUGCCAGUGAUCGCCAAUGGUUGGUGGUGAUGACCGAUGGUGGUAGCCGAUAGUGGUAGUCCGUGGUAAAUGAUGACUAGUAGUAGUGACUACAAUGAUUAUAAAUUUAAAAAAAAUAUGAAUUUAUAAGGUUUAUCAAUAUCCGAAAAACGUUUUACUCUCUCAAAAAUGGAAAGUUAUUUUCCUUAAAAAUAACAUAAUUUUCCUUUGACCAGAAAGAUAUUAUCCAUUGACUUAUUUUUCUGAACCCCCCAAACAACGGAAAUUUGUAGAAAAUAUUUUUCUGCAAGUUAUUUUACGGAAACAAAUGGAACCUAAAAGUUUAUUUAAAAGAAGGGUAAUAUUGUCAAUUUUUAAAUACUACUAAAAUAAUAUAAUCUUUUACUUAACUAAAUAAUAAUUUUCAAAAUAAAUAACUAAUUAUGAGUAAAAUUAUUUUAUUUUAAUCACCACUUAUGAUUUAUUUAAAUAUUUUUUAAUUUUUUAGGUCAAACUAAAUAUUAUUUUACUUUUGAAUUUCUAUAUAAGUUUGACAGACUUAUAAGGCAACUCAAAUACUAUCUAUUUAUAUAAAUAUAUAAUUUCUAAAACAUAAUUAAUUAUGUAACAAAAUAUAAAUAUUCAAAUAUUGAUAUGCAUUUUAUUUUUUCUUUCAUUAUAAUUAAUCCUUUUUUGCAUUUAAUAAACAUUACAUUUUUUUAUUAAAUAAUAGAGUUACAUAGUAAAAUAAAUAUGGUUAGUUCACUAAUGGAAUUGAGAUAUAAUUUCAAUUUAUUAAAACUUGUUACAACAUAAUUGGAUAUUUUUAUACCUUUUUUAGUUAUAAAAAUUAAUAAACAUUUCAAUUAAAUGUAUAAAAAGUUUAAAAGAAAACUAAAUAAUUAUAUCAGUUGAACUGUAAUAAUUAUAGUAAUUUGUUACAUUAAUAAAUAUUUAUACUUGAGAAUUUUAAAAGAAGCAUUUAAUUUCACUUUUCGUUAUUUAAUCGAAAUACAUGAGCAAAUUAUUGAAAUUAAAAUAAUACAAAUAUAAAUUGCAAUCUUUUUUUGAAAUAUUACCCAUCUAUAUCGAUUCAAAAAACACGAGCAAGAUUAUAUACUUCAAGCAUUUUAAAAAAAAAAAAAAAAUAUAUAUAUAUAUAUAUAUAUAUAUAUAAAUAUUUUCAAUGCAAAUGCAAAUUUUUGCAUAAUAAUUACUAUUUUAAUUUUUUAUAUUAUUUAUAUUUAGGUGAUUUUUAUUUACUAUUUUUUAAUUCACAAAUUACAAAAUUACAAUAUAUGUUUUAACUAGCAUUUUCGUAUUCCAUUUUCAUAUAAUUUUUCUAUAUCAGAUACCAUAUAUAUAAUGAAUAUUAUAAAAUCUGCACUGUCCAUGCCAUUUAUAACAGUAUCACAAUAAUAUCAAAACCUAUUAAAGGUACCAUUUGAGUUGGGAUUAUUUGCUAAUUUUUCUAUUAACUUCCCACCAAAUUGCAAUGUAUUCUAAUCCAACUAUCCGUACUGGAAAAUGGAAGGUGGGGCAUUUUGGUAAUUGGAGAAGGGAGAAUCUUUAACGCAUGCUUGGUGGUUGGUCACGGCGACUCCUGACACUGUUGGAGGAUAUGACACGGUGUCAUGCUUUUAUAAAAGGUAUGCGUGUUGGGCGGUGGCCAAGGACGGUUGUCUUUCGUCACGCGACUAAGAAAUCCACUCUGUACAAUUAUGACCACGAGUAUGUCAUGACCUUUUUCUCUGUCUAAUUCUAUAUUUGUUACUUCCUGCAAUAAGUAUAAAAUGUUUUCGUCUUUCUGAGCACUAAAGAUUUCAUGAUAAUGAAAUUCUUCAGUUCUUAAACCUUAAGUAAUCUAUGAUUUAUAAAAUAAAUACAAUUAUUAUAAUUUUCUGGUAUAAAUUAUAAUAUUUUAUACAUCAUAAUUACAAUUUAUGAAAAUUUUGAAUUUGAGUCAUUUUUACUACAAGAAUUUUCACCAAUUAUAUAUAUUUAUAAAGCAAAUAUAAUUUCUCUAAAUUUGAUAAUAUUAUUUUAUAUAUAUAAUUGUAAUUUGUAAUAUCUAACUUUUUUAGGUUGCAUCACCUUAAUGGACUUUAAUGUAAUUUAUAUUUAAAAUUGUAAUCAUGUAAAUCUGUUUUAAAUACAGCAUUCAUAAUGAUACUGAACGCAGAUUAUAAUAUGUAUUUUAUAUAUGGUAAUUAAUGGCAAAAAAAAAUUUUGAGAUACAGAAAUAUAUUAAUUUUAAUUGAUUAUUGUAUAACUAUAAUUGAUUAAUUAAUAAGUUAGAAAAUAAUAAUAAUAAUAAUAAUAAUAUAUUAUUGCUAGUCAUUUGUCAUAUAAUUUAAUUUGAUGAUUGUUGAUUAGAAUCUAAAUGCAUAGUUUAUAUUUUGUUCUUUAUAGGACAGCCUGUAUGCAUGUCAUCAUGAAAAUUAAAGAUAAUAUCAAAAUAUUUCAAUAUUUUUAUUAUCAGAAAAGUUGAAAAAAUUUGGAAAUUUUAGACUUGAUCCUCAAUGAUUAUUAUUAUUUUGAUGAAAGGGGAGAUGAAUAAAACACAAACAUAUGUGGUUCAUUUCAUAACUCUAAUUAUGUGAAAGCAUAAUCUUUUGUACUCUUCUAUGACUAGGACACUAAUUGGAGAAAGCCAAAAGAAGCCUUGGAAUUUUUUGUCUAUUUAGUGGAAAAUAUUAAAUAAUCUCUGUUCAUUAGUCCAUGUUAGGCACAAGUUUUUGAGACUUUGUUUGUUAUCUAACAAGAAUAUAGAGGGAAAAAAAUACAAUUUUAAAGGUUUAACCAAAUGAAAUAUAUAUUUAUUUAUUUAUUUCUAUUUAAAAAAAGAAGGAUAUAGCUUUUUUCCGUUUGAUAAGAUAGGUAGGUGAGUAAGGUGACUUCUAAGCUUAUACAUUCUUUCUUUCCUUGCCAUAGAUGUUACCUGUCCCUCCUACUUGCAAGCUAACUGUUAGUAGGAUGGUGAAUUUUAACUACCCAAAAAAAUUUUAACUCAGUUAGUUAAAUCAUUCUCUGACAACAGUUUUUUCUUUAAAUAGCUCGGGUUAAAAUAUUUACAAGCUAUUUAAAAAAUUAUUUGGUAAUAUAACAUUUGAAUUAAUAAUUAACUAAUAUACUAAGGACUCUUAUAGUUUUAAAAAAAUUAGUUAUCGUAUUUAAAAUAUUAUUUUAUACUGUUUAAUGGAGGUUCAAACAAAAUCUAAAAUCUUCCAUGGUUAUGGGAUUUUUUAACUUCAAAAAAGACUUUCCACGGUGCCAUGGAUUAUUGCCAUCAUUUGCAUCACUAGGCGGUUAAAACUUAAAAGUAAUAAUAAAGCAGGAUUAGUUAAAAAAGGAAUAGAGGCUUUUCACUUUAAUGCUUCUAAUUGGCCUCUAGUACGCACAUGUGGCAAGGCAAAAUCAUGCGUGUGACUUUGCAAAACAGAGGAUGAAUAUUGAAAACUGAAAAGUAAAUAUGAAAUUAACGAUUAACUAAUGUUUAUGAUUAUAAUGUGAAGUUGCGAAACAACAAGUGAAAAAGAGAAAUUACUAAUCAAUGGAAGCCCUCGUGGUUUAGUGGAGUGAAUUCAAGGAGUUUUUUUUUACCAUUUCAGCAAAAGGACUCAACAAGAAGACAUCAUCAUUCAUCGUCUUCAAUUUUUUUUUUUUUUUUUUUUUUUUAACAAAAAAUGCCAACCUAAGUACAUGCAUCCUCCAAGGGUCAUUAAAAUUCAACUAGGAUCAACUUUUCUUUUUCUUUUUAUUUUUAUUUUUUCAAUACAAGUUAUCUCAUUGCAUUAUUUUUAGGAAAAUAUUUUAUGUUACCAAUCAGGAAAUUCCUUCUAAUAAAGUAGAAAAUAGAUAGAGAAUUUCAAUUUCUGCUAAAAUAUGUUACAAGCCAAUUUAAAAAAAAAAUAUCAUGGUGAUUGGAUUUAAUUAUUUUAUUAAUAUAAUUUAAAUUAAUUAAUGCUAGAAUUCAUGUGUAGAAUGAAAUUAAAAUGAUAGCUAAUUAAGUGUAGUGUAGUUGGUUUUCUUACACUCUUUUAAAAUAAAAGUAAUUGGAGAUACAUGUUCAGUCUUUUCCUUCACAAAUUUGGUAGGCGUUAUUUAAAUGAACAAGUUACCAAGUUAACCGUUUAUUAUUUAGAAAAAUAAUAAACUAAAAUGAGCAUAUUUGUUUAUUUAAUUUCAUAUAUACUAAAAUGAGCAUAUUAUUACAAACUGAUUUUUCCUUUGAAAUGAUUAAUGAAGAGAAAUUCAUAUUCAUAUAUGUCUUUAGUAAUGGGUUUCAAUAACAAUAAUACAUGAUUCAUUAUGCUGUGAACAUAUAUUCUUGUCUAUAUGAUAAUGAAUCUAAGGGACCCACCUUGAACCUGAGCCAUUUGCCAGGUUUCUCCAUCUUCUUCUUUAUUCCUUCCUGGAAAAAAAAAUUUAAAAAGAAGAAACAAUGAUGCUUCUGUAAAACAAUUGAUGACUUGAUGGAGAAAAGGCAAGUAGGAAACAUUAUGUUCAUUGGAUCUUAUCUUUGAGACUCAAAAUCCAAAUUUAGCAAACAAAAGCAAAAUCCGUACAAAGUUAUAUCCCCCCAUUAGUUAGGAAUAGGCUAUUGUUGAUGGGCCCUGAAAAUCACAGUUUAAUUAAUAAAUACAAAGUUUAGUUUCAAUUGAAAUGGCAUGGUGUGUUUGGUCACUAGCAAGCACUUGCACAUGGACUUCUUAUUUCACAGUUUUUUUUUUUUUUUUUUUUUGAAAAAGCAAACAAAGUAACAGACCUUAUAAUUGCCAUGAUUUUGUUAGGCAAAAGUGUAAGCAGGUGUGAAGAAGGAGAGUUCAGUGGCCCACUCCCAACUGCCAUCAGAUGAGAUGAGAGGUUUCAGAUGCCAUUUGCUAGAUCCCAUCUUAUAUGUUGUGUUGUGCCUUUCCUUCCCUUACCUGCCAUAUGCUUAUACUUACCAAUUCUCAACAACUACUUGCUUUCUGCUAUGAAUCAUAGCUGUGUGUGUAAGAAUGUAUUUAGACACAUGAAAGGUGAAUUUAUAUUCACAUGUGCUAAAAGUUUGUGUUAUCAUUUGGUAUUUUAUGCAUAGAUGGAUGCAUCUGAAUUCCUUUUUUAAAGGGUAUUGAUCUAAUCAUGCUUCUAAUUUCAUAUUUAGCAUCACGAAUAUGAUAUUGCACGUUUUCUUCUUCUUUAGUAUAUAUGCCUCUUAUAAUACAAUUUUUGCUAAUUACACUUAUUCUCCUUGUUCCUAAAAAGUUUUUACAGGAAAUAUUUUCUUCACAUGAAUUUUAAAAGUAUUUUUCUUUUCAUCUAACAAUUAUUAUUGCACUUGUAGACAAUAAUCUAACAUUAAAUACACAUAAAACUUUGAUGUAUACCAAAAUCCUUCUCCUUAAUGCUUAAAGAAUCAAUUGUUAUUAUAUCAUCUUAUUGAGUAAUUCUGACCAAAAAAAAAAAAAAUCCAUACCAAAAAUAAUGGAUGGAUGCCAUUUCACGAUAUUUUCCGUACUUAUAAAAAAUGUAUUCGUAGAUUUUUAUAUAUUUUAUAAUGUAUAUAAAAAUUUAUUUAUCUUCUAAGACAUACCAUUUAUUAUUUAUUAUUUAGUAAUACAUGUAAUAUAUUUUAAUAAUUCAUAAAAUUUUAAAACAUCGUGGCCAACAAAAAUUCCCGGAAAAGCAUCAAUCGUUUCAGCCCAAAUUCUGAAUGAUUGGGCCGGGCUUCAAAGGUCCUUUUCUUGUUCUUGCUUACAAGUUAGAAAUUUGUUAACUGGUCCAUCCGUGGAAUGGCGUAUUGAAAGCCCAUCCUCCGAAUUCAUUAUUUUAAGAGCACGCAUUACUAAAAAGAUAAUGCAAUUAUAGGAACAUUUUUCCAGGUAAGCACCACAUCAGAUCCAUAUCCACUCAUAAUAGGGUCAAAAUUGUCAACAACCAAUCGCAUCUCUCUACAUCAACCAAUAUUCCAAAAUUACCCCUUACCCACGCUUCGAAAUGACCAAAAAACUACCAUAUCCUGCGUUUUUUUAACGUUAAUCAUCUUUCCUCUGCUCAAAUCAUUUUUCACUCAGGCUUCGCAAAACCAUGGCGUCUAUGGCAUCUGUCUUCCGUCGAAAAUUCUUCCACAAGCCUUUCCUUAUCCAGAUAAGACUAUUCUCCGUCGAAUCGCCUUCUCAUGGCAAAAAAACGACUCAACGGUUAGAGAAAAUUUUGGUGGCGAACAGAGGUGAAAUUGCUUGCAGAAUCAUGAGGACUGCGAAGCGACUAGGGAUUCGAACUGUGGCCAUUUACAGCGACGCCGAUAGAGACUCGCUUCAUGUUAAAACAGCUGAUGAGGCGGUUCAUAUAGGUCCACCUCCGGCUCGGUUGAGUUAUUUGAAUGGAUCAUCCAUUGUUGAGGCUGCCAUUCGUACUGGUGCUCAGGUGAGUUGCGCAAUUUUUUGUUUAGUUAUCGAAGAAGUAGAGGAGUCAAGAAACUAACGGUUAGUUUGAGUGGAACUUCAUGACAUUUUGGCCAAAUAUUCUAACGUUCUUAUUGGUUGAACCAGUGUUUUUAUUACUUCAAAUUAUCCAAUUACGUGCUCAUUGCAAAUAUACUCAGAGAGCCUAAAUAAUUUUGUGCGCUCGAGUGGGGAUUAUCACGCUAGUGUUUUAUCCUUUUAAACACUGAUAUUUGUAGUUGGAUAUGACAUUGUAGCAUUAUUAAUCGCCAUUUUUCUCUAGAAUUCUGUAUUUGACAUUGAAAUGGUUCUCCUCUUCCUCGCAAUUGCUGCGGCUUUUACUGUGGGUUUGACUCGGCCUUAUUCCUUCCUUCCCUGUUGUUUGCUUUUAAUAUUAUUGGCUUGUAGUACUCUGCUGCACGUGAGGUAGGAUAGGUGAUGCAUGGUUGAUCGCUCUGGUUAAUAUUAUUGGCUUCUUUUGAAUAUUAGGCGAUACACCCUGGUUAUGGUUUCUUAUCAGAGAGUGCCGACUUCGCUAAACUUUGUGAAGAUAAGGCUCUUAUAUUUAUUGGCCCUCCAGCUUCAGCGAUUCGGGAUAUGGGUGAUAAAAGGUACAGAUUAUUUUGUUAACUGACUCCAUCUUUUUACCUUUCAGAUAAGCUUGUGUAUUCAGACCUUAAAUAAGUGCAUGUCCCAUUAUCUUAUUUAUUAAUGUUUGUUGUAUAUGUAACAGUGCUUCCAAGAGGAUAAUGGGUGCUGCAGGGGUGCCGCUUGUGCCUGGAUAUCAUGGCAGUGAGCAAGAUAUUGAGCUCAUGAAGUCAGAAGCAGAUAAAAUCGGAUACCCCAUCUUGAUCAAGCCGACCCAUGGAGGUGGGGGAAAGGUAUGCUGUUAUCUUGCAGCCUUUUACUUUGAUAUUAUACAAUCAGGAAAGAAUGUGGUCUAAGAUGUUUGUUGAUGCAUUUGUAGUGAGUAACCAAUGCAUUUUAUCAGCUUAAUAUGCAUCUAUAUCAAGUAUUUUCUGAUAAAAAAAAAAUUGUUCAAAAAGGCAAACGCCAUGUGGAUGAAGUUUUUCUUGCUAAGUUAGAUGUUUACUUCUUUUCAGAUGAAGUUCUUAUAUUCUGCAGAUUUUUUAGGGUAUGAGGAUUGUGCAAAGUCCAAAUGAAUUUGUUGAUUCUUUCUUGGGAGCACAACGUGAGGCUGCUGCUUCUUUUGGUAUAAAUACAAUUUUGCUGGAGAAAUACAUUACACAGCCAAGACAUAUAGAAGUCCAGGUAGUACUUUUUUUUUUUUGUUGGUCUAGAUCUGUUAGUGUUGCCUUUCCAAUAUUAAUAUUGUAGUUGUAUUAUAUAUUCGCAAAAUUAUCUUCAUCUCUCUUUAAAUUUCUUGAAAGCAUAUGGUUUUACUUCAAUGUUUCUCUGUUUCAUGGCCAUUAUUAUAUUGAUUCUCUGUUUGGUCUGUAUAUUAAUCUUUAGAUAAUAUGCUUGACUCUGUAGAUAUUUGGAGACAAACUUGGAAAUGUACUGCAUUUAUAUGAAAGAGAUUGUAGCAUACAGAGAAGACAUCAGAAAAUAAUUGAAGAAGCUCCAGCUGUAAUGUCUGGUUUCUAUAGUUUCAGUUCAGGUUAUUCACUGUGUAUCUACAAAAGUUGUAACUAGAACUCUCCUUGAUGCAGCCAAAUGUUAUGAAUGACUUCCGCUCCCAGUUGGGUCAGGCUGCUGUUUCUGCAGCCAAGGUAACGCUCAUCUAAUUCAUUUGCUGAAUAAUAAGCAUAUUUUAAUCGAUUCUAAUAUUAUUAUGUGUGGAAAACAGGGUAAAAGAAUGCAUCUUUUUUAAACCUUGAAAAGGACAAAAAAUUUUUUUGUGUGGAAGUUAUUUUACAUGGAGCUAUUUAACUAAAACUUGUCUACAACCUUUGAUGAAGAAAAGAUUGAGGUGAAUGCAAACUGACAUGGUUUAGUCAGCUGAUCUUAUUAGUUAUUAGCAUGAUUCACUCUUGCAUAUGUUUUAGAAAAAUGAACUUUACUAAUAGAGAGUCGAGUUUGUUGAUUCUUGGAUACGAAGGAACAAGUAGAAAGAAAUUUAAUAUAAAGAACUUAAUCACUUAUUAGCGAAAUCUCAAAUGAACUUGUUGGUAUUAUGGUAUAUUUCGGUAUAUUGAGCAAGACCAAAGAUUUGUAUUUGUUUAUAAGCUCUCCUGGUGGAUGGGUAAUACGCAGAACUGGCAUGUGUGUUUUUACUUUCAUGAAUGAUGACUUUCAUCUGUGGCCUAGUUUGAACUUACAAAUCAACUUGAUGACAAAUUUGUAAUUGGGCUUGAUUAAACUUUCAAACACUGCUCUUUGUUUGUAUUCAAGUCAUAAUAUAUUAACAUUUCAACAUAAUUGACAAGUAAUGGGAACCGCCUACUGUCUAAUUGCCCUCAUGAUGCAAAUAGAUGUAGCAAGGUUUGCUUCUAUCAGUGAUUCAAGUAAGUUUGCCAUAUACUCUGAUUGGUCAAUUAUUUACAGAACCUGUUUCAAGUUGCAAUUUCUUCUCCAUAUUGCAUUGUAACCAAGUUGAUAUAGUACUUUUGAGAGGGAUACUUAUCUUUUUAACUUACAAGGCUUGCCAUGCCACAUGGGAGACUGAGUUUGUAAGGCCGUUUGAUUCGAAGGAUCAUAUAUUAUUUUGCCUUAGAUUUGGAAGAUGAAAUCAUAAGAUUAAAAUGAAAUUGGUUGUGAUAAGAAAAAUUUACCUGUUAUUUAGAAAUCUGCUGUGUAUCAUAACCAAGCUAUUAGUGUUAGAAUUGUAUAUCCAUAGGAGUGCUGUCAUUUUCUUGUAUUUAGCUCUUCAUAUCUUAGAAUUUUCUUUAUAUUGUUUGUUCAACUAUACUUCGUUUUAAUUCUUUUCAUGGCAUUCACUAAUGCUCAAAUCAAAAGGCAGUUGGUUACCACAAUGCUGGAACUGUGGAGUUUAUUGUUGACAAAGUCUCUGGCCAAUUUUAUUUUAUGGAGAUGAACACACGCCUUCAGGUUCUUAGCUCUCUAUUUUCCAUUUAGUAAACCUGAAUUCCAUGAGUUGACAAAAUCCUAACAGGCACAUUUCUAUUCUUUUGUAGGUUGAGCAUCCGGUCACAGAGAUGAUUGUUGGCCAGGAUCUUGUAGAAUGGCAAAUCUGUGUUGCAAAUGGAGAACCACUUCCUCUCAGUCAGUCACAGGUGCCAUUGUUGGGUAAGCUUGCUCCUUAAAAUAUAAAAUUUGGAACAAACUCAUUUCUGUUCUGGCACAUCAGUAGUUGAACAUGUCCCUAUCCCUAUCUUCGGGUUGAUGAUGACUAGAUCGAAAAAAGAAAAGAAAGAGGGAUUAAACUAAAUUAAAUAAUGAUCCAACCUAAUUAAGAUGGCCAUUAUAAAUCCCCAUUCCCUGAUUGUUUCCAAUUUUUUUCUCAUUUUUAAUUAUAGUUUUUUCUUUGAAUUUUCGUUUUACUAGAUUAUAAAGAUAAAUAUUAAUGUAUAACUCAUAAAAAUAUAAAUGAGUUAUAUAACUAUACAGAAACCGUACUACCUUAAUAUAUAUACACUUCAUGCCCCAUUGGGGCCAUUCUCCACCCCACUGCUAUCCCUAAUUCCAGAAGCCAAAGAAGAAUUCAUUUAAUAGAUUGUCUAAGCUUUCUUCUGCUCAGGUUGCAAUACAUUGUUGGCUUGCUAUAUCAGUAGGAAAAUUUACUUUUACAUCUCGUGCAAGCUUGAAUAUCAGUACAAUACCUUUAUCAAGCAGUCUCUUUAGAUAUUACGUAUUUCUUUUGACAGGUCAUGCAUUUGAAACCCGAAUAUAUGCUGAAAAUGUUCCUAAAGGAUUUCUUCCUGCAACUGGAGUUCUUCAUCAUUAUCGACCUGCUGCUGUCUCAUCAACAGGUGCAAUUGCAAUGCAAAAACCAAGUUAUUUGCACUUAAUAUGAACUAGCAUCAGUAUGGUCUGAAAAUCAUUUUCAUACCAUGAUCAAACUUGAAGGAUUUUGUUUUAUACUUGCAUUAUUGGCUGACCAAGUUUUUCCAUGAUCAAACUAUUCUUCAAUCAGGUCUCCAAUUUAUUGAUUGUCCAGUUAUUUUCACUUUAAAGGUACUUGCAAGAUAAGACAGAUAUAGCUGCAGAAAGAGUCAUUUUUAUGACUCAAGUCUACCAAUACUUUUGAUUGAAUUGGUUCCUUUUUGUCUCUCUUAAUUUUGGUGUCCUCUCUUUUUGGCUUAUGUUAAAUCUUGCUAAAUUAACAGUUCGGGUUGAGACUGGAGUCGAAGAGGGGGACACUGUUAGCAUGCACUAUGAUCCUAUGAUUGCAAAGCUUGUAGUCUGGGGAGAAAACCGUGCUGCAGCAUUAAUCAAACUGAAAGAUUGUCUAUCAAAAUUUCAGGUAUGCAUUAACUCGAGUCAUGUGACAAUUGGAUUUUGCUUGUUAAGAUCUGGACUGUCCAUUAAAUAUUUAAACUGUGAUUCAUAGACUUGGUGCAAUAACUCUAUGAACUUGCAAUAUCUCAAUGAAAUUUGCUUGCUUAUAUCAUGGAAACUUGUGACAGUUUGUAAUACUGUCUACUUGGCCUUGAUGGUAGUAGCAAGCCAGAAACUUAGUAUUUUAAAUCAGUGGACUGGACAUCACCUUGGAGUCUUCUUAGAUGAUGAACAUGAUUUAUAUCUGGUGAGAACUAAAGUUGUACUAUGUGCAUCUUUUAGUCUCACAUCACUCUGCUACUUCUCUUUUAGGUUUAGUCACCUCAUAAGUUUUGGGUUAUACUACACUUGGGUAAAGACAUAAAGUUUUCUAGAUACCUGAAGACAACUAAUUCAUGUAGAUUUUAGAAUCUGUCACAGUGAAAAAAUGUAAUCAUUCAAAGAUUAAUUGGCUGGCAGGUAGCAGGAGUGCCAACUAAUAUCAGUUUUCUCCAAAAACUUGCUGACCAUAGGUCAUUUGAAGAAGGCGAGGUGGAAACCCACUUUAUUGAGCACCAUAAAGAUGAUCUCUUUACUGAUCCUAACAAUUCAUUGUUAGCUAAGGAGGCAUAUAAUAGUGCCAGAUUCAGUGCAGCUCUGUUAGCUGCAUGUCUUUGUGAAAAGGAACAUUCUGCUUUGAAGGAAAGUCCUCCUGGUAUGUUGAAGGCUAUUUUGGUUUUGCAAUAAUAUUCCUUUUUUAUUCUUCAUGACAUCAAUGCCUGGAAUACCUUCAGGGGGCAACAGCUUACACUCCAUAUGGUAUUCUCAUCCCCCAUUCAGAGUCCAUCACCUAGCUAGGCGUACUAUGGUAUUCGAGUGGGACAAUGAAUAUGAUAGUAGCGGCUUAAAGCUUUUGACAGUUGAUAUCAUGUACCAGCCGGAUGGGAACUAUUUGAUCAAGGUAUUUAUCUUCUUAUACUGGAUGUAAGUGGAAAGUUUGAAUGGCUGUUCUGGUACAUAAAGUUAUAAUCCAUCUUUAUCUGUGCACAGAUAGGAGAAAUCAGUUCUCCUGGUUUGGAAGUCAAAGCAAUGUAUCUGCAUGAUGACAAUUUUCGAGUUGAGGCUGAUGGUAUAAGCAUGAAUGUUAAUUUGGCUGCGUAUUCAAAGGUAACUGGAUAUCUUUACAUUCAUGGACUUUGUGAAUGUAGUUUCUUUCUUGUUAAUUUUUAGGAUAACAGGCCUUUUUCUUGGUUCCCAUUGCAAUCAAAUACUUUAGUAAUGGUAUGAAGAUUAUGUAGAUGGCAGUUCGGCAAUGGUGCCGCAUGCCUUUUUGGCUAGCAUCUUUUCUUGUCUCUUGCAGUAGUGUUUUUAGUUGGCAUCAUGGGUUAACAUACUUGCCAGAGUCUGACCCUGAGGUGCUCUUGAACCUACCCAUGGGCAUCCCUUACCAUGAUAUGUUGUUUUUUUGGACACUUCAAUCGUUGAAAGCAUGUGCUUUGCCAAGUUUGAUGGUUCAUUGAUAUAUCGUAAUUGUUGUUGCUACUACUGCCACUUGGUAGAACAAACUUUUGGUAAUAAAAAAGUCGGAGGAACAUUUUGGUGAAAAAACAUUGCUCAAUCAAUUAUAGAAGAGCAUAUUUGCAUGCAUGCGUGUUUUUCUGCAUCUUUGCACGCAGGCAGGUGUAUAUAUGUCAAUCCCUGUCUAUAUAUCUGGUUGUUUAUCCUUGUUUGUGGCAUGCAUGCGUGUCUGUGGCAUUGACAUAAAAUCUUCCACUUUGGUGUGCCAGGAUGAGACAAGGCACCUUCAUAUAUGGCAUGCGUCUCACCAUCAUCAUUUUAGACAAAAAAUAGGGCUUGAUUUAUCUGAUGAUGAUGAAACCCAACAUACGACCAAGUUUGAGACUGCAUCUCACCCUCAAGGAUCUGUGGUUGCUCCCAUGGCUGGUUUGGUGGUUAAGGUUGUUGUGAAGGAUGGAUCAAAGGUGGAGGAAGGGCAACCCGUAUUAGUGUUAGAAGCAAUGAAGAUGGAGGUUUGUAGUGAUUGCCAAUAAAAUUUUGGAUCAAUUUAUUUUCUUUGCUGACUUUUUAUAAUUAUUUUUCUUCAUUUGAAUAGCAUGUUGUAAAGGCACCAUUAGCUGGCUAUGUUCAUGGGCUUCAAGUCACAGCUGGCCAGCAGGUUUCAGACAGUACUCUUCUUUUCAGCAUUAAGGUUAGUCAAUGUUAUUUGCAUGCAAUUGAAAUAAGCUGAUGUUUAGAUUUAGUAUAGCACAUGAGUUGCAAUUGAUAUUAACUGGUUUCACUUCACAAUGUGCAGAAAUUGUCCACUCAUAUUACAUCAUAAUUUGUUCUUUCAAUAUUAAGUUUAAUUUUGCAUUGCACUUUUCUCCAUUUCUAUUCAUGGGUUAAUUAUGUGGACAAAAAAUAACUCAUGCAUAAUGACAAAUUUGAGUUUAUGGAAAUUAGGUUGAAUCCAGUCUCCUGGAGUUCAAUUUAUGUUGAAUGGAUUUCAGUUUUCCCAUUCCCACUGAAAAUUGGAUAUAGGAAAAAAAAAUAUUAAUGCAGCGUGUUCAUAUUUCACACCCAUUGCAAAAAUCAAUUGGGAGUUUGGGACUAUCCUACUUCAGAAGUUCUAUUCUCUAAAUAUUUUUGAAGGUUGGCUGCAAGAAGAGGCCUAAAAUUGAAAAGACUGAUAAUUUGCCAAGACAGCUUGUUUGGUGCUUUAAUCAUCAUGGCAACAAGCAUAAAAUUUUCUGUUGUCUUGAAUUCAGUUUUCUUUUUUCUUUUAAAAUACUGAUAUAAUGUUUGAAUUCCUAGUUUUUGGCAUCAAGCUGACUUGGACUUUACAUGGUACAGUAAUAGUUUCUCAGUCCUAGGGGACUUAAAAAGUUGCUUCCCAGUGUGUGAAUCCCAUGAAAACACAUUACCAAAAGUCGUCUAAUAUAGCAUGGGUAUUCUAUUGAUUAUAUGCAUGCUUUAUAGGACCUUUGUUGAAGCAUAUUAUUUCCUUGUGCAGGAUGAAUAAAAUUUCUGAAGUUCUGAUUUUUUUUACUGCUUCAGCAAAACGCCACUACUUAAACAUAUUAAGGGAAUUGGCAAAAAGUUUGUGGUAAGAAAAUUUGUUGUUCCUUUCACCUCUAUGCUUCAUAGAAUGAGAAAUGUAAAAGGAGAAAACUCCUGUAAACUAAAUAUUUCUUCUGGUAAUAAUACACAUCUAAUUUAUUUGAAUUACUUCUCUGCAUGUUGAUAUUUUCUUUCUUUACUCAAUCAUACACACUAUUGUGCAUGUCCACAUAUGCACACACAUACUUACCAGAGAAGGCAAGAAUACCGAUGGCGUAUCUAAAAGGCAAAUGAAAGCAGUGCCAAUCAUUGUGGACUUAAUUGUUAUAACUGGUAACUCUUUGGUUUUAAUGGAAAUUUUCUUUGGAAGUUAGGAAGCAAUCCUUGUCUGGCAUAAAGAAUAUUGUAGCCUUUUCCUCCUGGUCAAACUUUAUUAUAUAAUAAUGCACAUCAAAAUUUAGUGGCCAAAGCAAACAUCAUGAGAAUAUGAGGUAUGUCAAUGGAGUUCAUAGACUGGCAGGUCGAUUCAUCAAUUAUUCAAGGUACUUUUUUGCCAAUUGGUGUGGGCUUGCCAAAACUUGAUCGAGUCACUGACUUGUUUAAUUUGUAUGAAUCACUUUAUCUGUAAAAAGUCAUAUCUGAAAAGUAUUCUUAAUAACGGUCAAACUAGGCAUCAUUCUUGCUUGUCAUUGUAACAAAAGUACCUUGAUUUUAGAAGGUCUCUCUUAGUGUUGAUUUGAUAUUCUUUACCAUUAAUCUGAUAGUCACUGUUUAGAGUUGAGUUUGAUUGAAGUUCUUGAAAUUCUGCAAGGCACGAUUAAAAUCCAGAGAUCAAGACGAUGUGUUCCUCAGUAACUAUGUACCUUGGAUAAAAUUCUCAUGCAGGUGGUCUCAUCACUUUAAGAAUCUCAGGUAUAUAAGCUUAAAUUUUCAAGUUAAAAAUGAGUUUUUGUUGCGGUAGUAGUCAUGAAGACCCAAUAUUCUCGUAAGAAAUUGGUUGCUUUCCUGGCAGAUGGAAAGAAAUGUUGAUGUGAUGGAAAAAACCACCCAUUAUUCCUUACUUGUCCAAUUGCCUAAAGCUAUUAUUUUGAUCAACUUUUUUAUUAUUACUUUCCCACUCCAGAGAAAGAUUCUGAUCUGAUAUGUGAUGUGUGUUCGAAAGCCGGCACUAAUAAUAGGUCCAACGUCCAUGGGGUCAGAAUUUCACAGAAUUAUUCUUUAAAAUGCGAGGUUCUCUCUUCCCUCUCGUAGUUGCGGAAUUGUAAAAAUGAAUUUUCUUUUUCUUUUUCUUAUUUUUUUCUCUUGAUUUGAUUCUGGUGAAAGUUGUGAGCUGGUUCUAGAGUGACGGUGGAAGAAACUAAGCAUUGAGCUUAUCUAAGGAUGAAUAUAGAAUCUAUGACAGUGGGACAGUGCUAUAUUGGAUGCUUAGGAAGCAUCAAGGAAGCUGCUACAAACCUAAACAAGAUGCGAUUGGGCGACAGUACAUAGUUAGGCAAAAGGUCCUUUUGAUUGUCGCCCUUUCUGGGACUCGAAAAGCUGUUAGAAACUAUCGAAAAGAAAAAAAGAAAUAGUAAUUACCGUUAAAGUAAAACUAAGUUAGGAACUUAACAAAGUAUAAAAUUCAAACUUAUCGAUAUUUUUCCUUCUUGUUUAAAUUGAGCUUUCAGUAACUGUAGUAUUUUAGACCAACUUUUAUCAGUAAAAUUAUGGGUUCAUAAGUUUUAUUUAUAAAAUAUUAGAUCAAGAUAAAAUGACGUUAUUUACAUUAAUUUUUAAGAUAAAUAAAAGGGGCAUUUUUAUUAAAUUAUACACAUGAAUUUAUAUUUUGUUCAAUUUCUAGAAUCCGUCUAAUAGGAUUAAUUUAUUUAGAUUUAGUCUAUAAAUCUAUUUAUAGAUUGAAUUAAUAAAAAAAUGAAAUAAAAGUAUUUUCGAUGCUUCGUUAAAAAAAAAAAAAGGGGAUAAAGUUUUUAAAAAACUUUUUUAAAGGAAACAUCAAUAUCUAAGCAAUCUAAGGUUUAAUACAUUACAGGGAUAUUUUAGUCAUUGUAAAACAUUGUAGCUUAUAAAAAUUUUAAAAAUCUCUAAAUUCCGGUAAGUCGGUUAAAAGUGACAGGUAAGGAACAGCGUAUUUAAGAGUUGAAACGUCUGCUUGGAAACAGUCGCGGCAGCUAUUUUAGGCCACAAUCUGCCAUUCACUUUUUCUCUCUCUCAGAAAAAUCUUUCCAUCAUUUUUCCUCUUUUUCUCCAUUCAUCUGAUUGGUUCCCCUUUUAUACUAUUCAUUUUUUCUCCUCCACAAAACCCUGCUUUCGUUAUUGCGCGCUCUGUCUCUCUCUCAUGCAUCUUUUUCUGUGCUUUUUUUUUUAAUAAAAAGAAUCGUGGGUUUUUAUUUGAUUGUUCUUAGUUUUUCUAAGAAUUGUAUUUUUGUCAUUCUUUUCUUCUUUUCUUUCUUGGUUAUCUUCAAGCUAUAAUUUUUCCAUUUUUCAAAAUUUUCUUUUGGGCAAAUAAAUUUUGGAUUUUGAGUCCAUAAGUCUGACUUUGGAUUGAUAAAAAUAAACACUUCAUUCUUCUUUCUUUAGCUGCUUCUUCAUUUACAUGGUUGUAUGCUUGCUUUGUUUUACAGUCUCAGGUACAAAAUUUAGGAUCACAAAAUCUUGUAUUACCAACUUUUACUUCUUCAGUUAGAGUUUUUAGACUUAUUAUAGAAGAAGAGACAAAAAUGGAAUCAAGCAAUGUUAGGGAAGUUGAAGGGGGUCUAAAAGCAGAGGAAUCCAAUAGCCAUGAAGUAGAAGCAACCUCUAACACCCAAGAAAAGUGCUUGAGUUCACAAGCGAAAGAUGCGGGUAGUAUUAGCAACAGAGAAAUGUAUUUUAGAGCAGAUAAAAUUGAUUUCAAGAGCUGGGAUAUUCAGCUAGAGAAGCACUUGAACCGUGCUUGGUCAAGGGAUGGGGAAGUUCAGACAAAAAGACAAGAAUGGGAGAUUGAUUUGAGCAAAUUGGAUAUGAGGCAUGUUAUAGCUCAAGGGACUUACGGUAUCGUGUAUAGAGGCAAUUAUGACGGCCAAGAUGUUGUUUAUUAAAGGAAUCAUCAAUAUCUAAGCAAUCUAAGGUUUAAUACAUUACAGGGAUAUUUUAGUCAUUGUAAAACAUUGUAGCUUAUAAAAAUUUUAAAAAUCUCUAAAUUCCGGUAAGUCGGUUAAAAGUGACAGGUAAGGAACAGCGUAUUUAAGAGUUGAAACGUCUGCUUGGAAACAGUCGCGGCAGCUAUUUUAGGCCACAAUCUGCCAUUCACUUUUUCUCUCUCUCAGAAAAAUCUUUCCAUCAUUUUUCCUCUUUUUCUCCAUUCAUCUGAUUGGUUCCCCUUUUAUACUAUUCAUUUUUUCUCCUCCACAAAACCCUGCUUUCGUUAUUGCGCGCUCUGUCUCUCUCUCAUGCAUCUUUUUCUGUGCUUUUUUUUUUAAUAAAAAGAAUCGUGGGUUUUUAUUUGAUUGUUCUUAGUUUUUCUAAGAAUUGUAUUUUUGUCAUUCUUUUCUUCUUUUCUUUCUUGGUUAUCUUCAAGCUAUAAUUUUUCCAUUUUUCAAAAUUUUCUUUUGGGCAAAUAAAUUUUGGAUUUUGAGUCCAUAAGUCUGACUUUGGAUUGAUAAAAAUAAACACUUCAUUCUUCUUUCUUUAGCUGCUUCUUCAUUUACAUGGUUGUAUGCUUGCUUUGUUUUACAGUCUCAGGUACAAAAUUUAGGAUCACAAAAUCUUGUAUUACCAACUUUUACUUCUUCAGUUAGAGUUUUUAGACUUAUUAUAGAAGAAGAGACAAAAAUGGAAUCAAGCAAUGUUAGGGAAGUUGAAGGGGGUCUAAAAGCAGAGGAAUCCAAUAGCCAUGAAGUAGAAGCAACCUCUAACACCCAAGAAAAGUGCUUGAGUUCACAAGCGAAAGAUGCGGGUAGUAUUAGCAACAGAGAAAUGUAUUUUAGAGCAGAUAAAAUUGAUUUCAAGAGCUGGGAUAUUCAGCUAGAGAAGCACUUGAACCGUGCUUGGUCAAGGGAUGGGGAAGUUCAGACAAAAAGACAAGAAUGGGAGAUUGAUUUGAGCAAAUUGGAUAUGAGGCAUGUUAUAGCUCAAGGGACUUACGGUAUCGUGUAUAGAGGCAAUUAUGACGGCCAAGAUGUUGCUGGUAAUGCAUUUUAAUUAAUUUGGAAUUUAGUUAAUUUUGCACUUACAAAUUCAUUUCUCUUUUUGUUGAAUUCGUUUGUUUGAAAAGUUUGUCUUGUAGAUGAUUCUUUGAUUAGUUCUGGCUUACUUUUAUGGUGUUCUACAUCUGUCAAUGAAUUCUAUGAAUUAGUAAUUAAAACGAGGUAAAGAAAACUACACUGAGACUUGGUACUUUUCAUAUAAAAAGGUGCUAAGGAAAUCUUUUAGCAGUUCAAAUGCUCAAAUUUCAAUAUAAGUGAUGAUAAGUUAAUUCAUGAUUAGUCCAGUUCAAGAUCUGAUAAGAACUUUUAUGAUAGGACAGAAUGAGAUGCUUACAGGUAAGUGCUGGCAGGUUGUUUUAAUUAUAUAGAUAUCCUGUCUUUCAACUUAAUUUAUGAAAGUAGUAUUAACUCUUGUUUAAACUCUUUUUUCUAUUUUUUCUGGGUCAAACAACAAUGAUUAAGAACAAUCAUCAGACAAAUGAUUAAACAACUUAGUACUUUAAACCUUCUUGGUUAAAUUCUGUCUUAGUUGAUUGUGUUUUAAGGUUUAGAUCAUAAUAAUUGAUGCCCCUAUCCAACUUUUGGGUGACUAAUUAGUGACUAAAAGUCUAUCCGAUUGAUAUAAAGUUGCCUAGUAAAAUUGCACCUGCAGUAGGAGCUUUCCUUUUUAUCAAUAGAUACAUAAUCUUACUCCAUAAAUCAAAUUGUAAGGUCAUGUAUCUAUAAUUAUUUUUUCUUAGUUAUAUCCUUACUGCCUAUUGUGAUUCUCAAACAUUAUAGUGAAGAUAUUGAGUUGGGGGGAGGAUGGCAUUGCCACUGCUGCUGAAAUUGCAGCUCUUCGGGCAUCUUUUCGGCAAGAGGUUGCUGUUUGGCAUAAGCUCGACCAUGCCAAUGUUACAAAGGUGAAUGAUACUAUGAUGCUUUGAGCAUUUAAUUACCAUAAAUCAUAAUAUCACUUGAGUUGUAUAUUCAUUUUCUACAUUAUUUGGAUAUUAUCCAUCUUCAGACUUAAGUUAAAGUUAAAUUUUCUUUACAAAUUAUAUUAUAGACCUCUGUGUUCAGAUUUUAAGUAAAAUUUCACAUUAUAGUUUGUUGGAGCUUCAAUGGGGACUUCCAAUCUCAAGAUGCUUCCCAAAAGCCCUGCAAAUGGAAGUUAUGAUUCUCAUCCUUCCAGGGCAUGCUGUGUUGUCCUUGAGUAUCUUCCAGGUGGGACGUUAAAGAAAUUUUUAAUCAGAAAUAGAAGGAAGAAACUUGCCUUCAAGGUUGUGAUUCAGCUUGCUUUGGACCUUUCAAGAGGGUAAGUACACAUUUUUGGGGAAUGUAAUCUUCGAUUCAGGCUUGAUUAACAUUUUUUUUUACUUGAUCCACUGUUGCAGUUUGAGCUACCUUCACUCUAAAAAGAUUGUACAUCGUGAUGUCAAGACAGAAAAUAUGUUGUUGGAUGCUCAUAGAACAUUGAAAAUAGCUGAUUUUGGUGUUGCACGAGUUGAAGCACAGAAUCCACGGGAUAUGACAGGGGAAACUGGUACUCUUGGAUAUAUGGCCCCAGAGGUACGUACUGUUCUUUCUGUGGCUAUCUCUUAUAAUAUCCUGUUUUGUCUGAAAGGUGGAUAAAAGACUAACAUAAUAACUUGUCUAGGUCCUUGAUGGUAAGCCUUACAAUAGGAAAUGCGAUGUGUACAGCUUUGGCAUAUGCUUAUGGGAAAUUUAUUGCUGUGAUAUGCCUUAUCCUGAUCUUAGUUUCGCUGAAGUUUCAUCUCAGGUUGUUCGACAGGUUUGUCUUUUCAUAUAUUUAUCUCUGUAGUUUCAGGUUCCGUUAUUACUUAUUUUGCUGGUUGUAGUUUGACACGCCCCACAUUUGAAACUAUUUCUUACAUAAAUGUCAACUUCAUCAAUCAUUGUGACUUUUGAACAGAAUUUACGCCCUGAAAUCCCCAGAUGUUGCCCGCAUCCAUUGGCAGGCAUCAUGAGAAAAUGUUGGGAUGCAAAUCCACACAAACGUCCUGAGAUGGAUGAGGUAGUGAAGCUGCUUGAAGCAAUUGAUACUAGCAAAGGAGGUGGCAUGAUACCUGAAGGCCAAUCUACCGGCUGUUUCUGUUUCAGUUCAGCCCGAGGUCCAUAGCUCCUCAACUUCCAUGACCGGUAUAUAAUUCUUAUUUGCAGAGUACUUGUGCAAAUUCAUUGCUAGAAUGCAGCCGGCCUUCAAAUAACUAAGACAUAGAUUUCUGCAGUCUCCUGAAGGCAGAGGAAUUUCUGGUCUUUGUAAGUUCUUGCAAGUUUAAAGUUCAUGAAAGGUUUGGCUGCUGUAAUUAUUAUUGCUACAGAAAAUUGGAAAAUUGGAGCUUCAUAUUUGUAUUGUAUAACAUUUCUUGAGAUGGUUUCAGUUUAGAUAGAUCAAUAUAGUAGUUUAUAUGUUUAAAGGAAAGAAGAUCCUCAGAAUAUUUUCUGUUUCAAAGAAAAAAAAAAAAUGGUUAUGAUACAUCCAAGGCAGAAUCUUGCGCAGCUGAUACAGCAUCACCCAAGUUUAUGUAUAAAAAAACCUUUACGCUUAAAAAAAAAAAAAAAAAAAAACAAACAGGAAAUUUGAUUUUUUUUUUAUAUUUUUUUGAACAUUUUAAUUUUGAUAAGUAUUAGUCUUCUUGCACAAGUGCAUGAACAUCAUAGUCAAUAUAAAUGAAAUAAGUAUUGGGACAAUCAUAAAUUAGUGAUCCAAUUUUAUUUAUUUUUCUAUUUAAGUAUCUCAAUUUUAUUUUUUAUCAAUUUAAUUAAAUGUAUUUUGUCAAAAUUUCUUACUGAAACAUCAAAAUAGAGAACAAAUGAAUGAAUGUUUAGAUGUGAUUUUAUUAAAUAAAAUUGUUUAAUUUGACAAUAAAAUUCCGGUUGAAAAUAAAAAGUUUUAUUCAAACACUUGAUUGAUAAAAAAAAUAAAAUUGAGACAUUAAAAAAAAAAACAAACUAGCAAAAUUUAGACCCCAAUUCUUUAAAAAUUUAAGAUAAAGAACCAAUAAUUUAAUAAUUUUCAAAUUAGAAUGCGAUUAUCGGGCUUUUGACAAAAAUGAUGCUCUCUAUAAAAUUAUUUUCCAAUCUAAUGCCAUUUCAAAAUUAUUUACCAAUCUAAUAUUUGUCCUAACAUAGAAAGAGAGUGUUGCACUAAAAGCACCAACUGACUUGGUGCUUUCAGUGCAAUAAAAAAAGUAAAGCAGUCAGCAAAAAAUAGUUAUAUGAAUAACAAUAAUUUUUAUUUUGUAUUGAGACCACCAAUCCAAUUGGUGGGUUCAAAACAAAAUGAAAAUUUUAAGUUGUCAAUUUGCCGUUUUACUAAAGCAUACAAUUCGUUUGGUGAUUUUAGUGCAACUAUGGGAUGUGACCACUAAUCAGUAAAAAGUACACGGAGAAACAGCGUUUUGUUAAAGAGUCCACUGGAUAAUUAGUGGUUUCAAUAAAAAAAUAUUUAUUCACUUAAAAUAUUUUUUUACAAAAACAUACAUAUAAUCUGAUGAUUUUGGUGCAAUACAUUUGAUUGUGCAGCGAACUAGACGUUGGAUUUCAUUUCGAGGUGCACAAGUUAGAGCUCUAGUAAUUAUUCGAUAGCUUUUUAUAUUAUUUUAUAAUUUCUUAGUCUAAUUGAUUAAUAAAUCUUGCUCUUAUUUUCAUAAUAUUUUUUUACAAUAGGAAGAUGGGCUCCAACAUAUAUAUUAUAGUUCAACAUCACCAACGUGUAGAAAUUCAUCAUUCCUUUGAAGAUUAUUUAGCCUAUUAAUGUGAUGAAUGAAAAAUUAAUACCAAAACUCAUCCUAUGCUUUAACCUGCCCCUCCAUUUAUAGAGUUUCCUCAUGCCCAAACACCAAAAGAACUACAGAGGUGAAAGAGUCGUGAAAUGGCAUCUAGAAGUAUUCUAGUUGAAGCCUCGCCAAUAGACGAUAUACCUCAAGUCUCUCUCUCUAUGACAUAUAACUAUUAUGAAGGUUAUCAUACUAAUAUGGGCAACACAUCAUCUUCUGCACCACAAUCUGAGUAAAGUGUACCAUCUACAACAUUAGAAAUGCCAUUAAACAUUCAUUACACUCCAAUGAUGGCAACCCAUACUUCUUUCUCUGAAAUAGGCGAGGCAACGCUAUUUCAAUAUACAAUACCUACUUUCAAUACUUCUGCGGUGUCUUUUGGCACAUAUGAUAGAUUUACAUCUCAUUCUAGACACUCAUUUAAUGAUUUCUUUGAGAUGAUGAUGGUACCCGAGCAAUAGACUCAUCUAACAUUUCAUAGCACAAAACAACUAUUUGUGAAUGUGGUUCAAGCUCCUCACAUGAGUGUCGAUAUAAAUAUUGAGCAUAAAGAAGAAUGUCAAGGUCUUAGAGAAGAUAAAGUAUGUCGAAAUCCACGUCGUAAUAGGAGGCCUCCAAGGUGUGGUACAAGAGGACAUGUGGGGAGACAUUCAUAUGAUUGAUUUUUCAUGUAUUAGUUAUUAAGACAUUUUUAACAUCAUACAAGUUCAACUCGAAGCAUUUUAUUACUCUCUAUAAUGAUGUUAUUACGUAACUUGAAAUAAUUGUGAACCAAAAAACCACAAGACCAUACAUGUAUUUUGAGUGAACACUUAUUUUUUUUAUUGAAUCACUAAUUAAUCUGGUGGACUCUUAAUAAAACACUAUUUUUGCAUGUACUUUUUACCAACUAGUGGUCACAUCCCAUAGUUGCACUAAAACCACCAAAUAAAUUGUGUUUUUUAGUGAAAAGGCAAAUUGAUAAUUUAGAAUUUUUAUUUUGUAUUGAAACCACCAAUUGGAUUGCUAGUCUCAAUACAAAAUAAAAUUUAUUAUUUAUUUAUAUAACUAUUUUUUGCUCCCUGCUUGUUAGUACGAGUUAUGUUUUUUAUUGUAUUGAAGUUACCAACUCAAUUCGUGAUUUUAGUGUAACACUCUCUCCGUGUUAGGAUAAAUAUUAAAUUAGUAAAUAGUUUUGAAAUGAUAUUAGAUUGGAAGAUAGUUUAUGAAGAGAAUUAUUUUUGUAAAAGCCCGCGAUUGUCAAACAAUUUUGUGAAGUAAUCAGAAAAGAAAAUAGAAGGCUGAGGUGAAUUAAAUCAAGGGGAAAAUACAACUGGGUCCCAAGUGCUAUUUAAGAAACUUGUGGGGUCAAUCUCUAGAAACUUUGCCCCCUAUAGAUACGGAAUUGGCGGUGCAAACGAGCUAGCGCUACUGUCACUUUGUUUGCUGCCGACUUGUACUUGAUCCAGUUCCACUACGGCUACGCGCCUAACAACCAAAUUACCAAAUUAAUACAAUGAAACGAGAAAGUCAUAACUUCUCUAUCGGAACAACUCCGCAUAUGAGGCAUUCCGGCGCCGAGCAGUCAUCCUUGAUAUCGGAUUUCCUCCGGCAGUCUGGCGGCGUCGCUGUCAUUGACGGUGGUCUCGCGACGGAGCUCGAACAGCAUGGCGCUGACCUGAACGAUCCCCUUUGGAGUGCCAAGUGUCUUCUAACUUCGCCUCACCUUAUCCGUACGGUACUACCUCUCUCUGUCUUUCUUUGCGUAUUUGUACAUGUAUACAUAAUAGCUGAUUAGGUUUCUAUUUCAAAUUUUUUUUUCCUUUAAAUUUGAAAUGUGGAGCAAGUAGUGCAUUUAGACUUUAGACCUUGUCUUUGAGAAAAUGCGUUAUUUCUAUUGAGGAUGAGGUUUAUGAUUCUAGAGCACUUAAUUAGUUAUUAUUGGCUGAGAGAGACUGAGAGCUGGUCUGAUCUUAUUUGGAAUUGUAUGUGUUAUGACUGCCAAUGAAAGCUUACUCACAUCUAACAGAGAUGGGCACUGCUUUUUUGGAUCUAUGCAGAUAUGGACCUCCAUAACAUGCAUUUAUCGUGGUCCUGCUUUCUGCUAUUUGUUCUCUUGUAUUGACUCUAUGGGGGUUGUGUAAAUACAAUCAACUUUAUAGUUUUGUCUGUAUUGAGAUGUCUGUAGUCAGGACUUUUUGACUAUAAUAAUAUAAGAAUGGAACUCAUUAGAAGUUCGAAUUGGAGCUCGAUUCUGAGCUUGCUUUUCUUGAAUCAACCGUAUCGUCUUUUGUUUAUUAGAGUUUAGUAUCGACAGACUAUAUUUAUGUGGUAAGUAUCUCAAUUUGGGCCACUGGUAUGUCAAAUACAUGUUAUUUAAUUAAUGGUUGGCAGAGGGCAUGCAACAUAUGCCCUCCUCUUCUCUGUCUUUGUUUUUUUUUCCUUUUCCUGUUUUUUUUUUUUUUUAUUUUUUAUUUUUAUAGUUUUUGGAGUAGGGAUAAUCCCAAAUUCUAUCUUCUGUUACAUUUUAAGGUUCGCCUAAUAUAAGGAUGUUCUUAUAUGAGAAUGAUCUCAUCAGCCAUUGGAUUUAAAAUUACAUUUAUCUCAAUUCAAAUAGACAAAUAAUAAUUGUGCUUAUCCUAAUACAACUUGUCAUCCAACGGCUGGAAAAGUUGUUCUUAUGGAAGAACAUUCUUAUAAGGGCUCAUGCCUACAUUUAAACGUUGUUUAAAGUAAUUGCACGAUGAUUAAGAAAAUCAUUGAGCAAUUUCAAUUAUAGAAAAAAGUAUUAUAUUCGACUAGUUGUCCUUUUAUCAAUCCUCUAAAUCUUUAAUUAAGAGAGAGAAAGGUGAUAAGGAAGAGAGAAAUUGUGUAAUUUAAUGGAGAUAACAAAAGACAAGGGUAAAGUUGAAAAACAAUAAUUAAUACUUCCUUAAUUUUCUGAAAUGAUUGACGAAGUGGAAUGAAAAUUUAUUUUUAAAGCAACACUUAAAAGUGGAAUGGAGGGAGUGAUGUUGGUUUUAGUGAUGAAAAGUAUAGCUGGUGAGGCACACAAGGGUAUCAGUUUGGUGUAUAGAAAGUAGUUUGUUUCUUGAUUCACGCCAUGUAACUUUAUCGAAGUAUGGAAAGAAAGUAUUCAACUGAUUUAAAGCAUAUGCUAUCAUGAAUGAUUUUGAAAGAAACACUAUUAAUUUGAUGAUUGAAGGUGGGACUUGGACAAGUUUGCACUUCUUAUUAUGACUAGUAUUAUUAUGAAAGCAUUUUUCUGAUUGUCUUUUUUUCUCUUCUGGCCAGGAAGGAAAGGGGGUAAGGGCAGAGCAUAUCCAUGAAUCAAAUGAGCAAAACUAGUUAUUGGUUUUACAUCAUUUCAGUUUUCCCCACAGAAUUAUGGGGUAUCAUGUCCUUUUAGUCCCUGGUCUCCCCCAGAAAAUUUGCCAAUGCUGGCACCAUAAAAUGUAUUCAGAAGACUCCACAUUCAUUGAUGUAAUAAUUUAAUAAGAGAGAUAUUAUGCGAAUGUCUUCACAUGUUGACACGAUUUUUAGUGGGUAAACUGCCAUCUAAUGAUAUAAACUAUCUUUUCUUGUUUAGCAAUCAGUUCUGUUUACUUAUGUCAUAAACCAUUUGUUGGAGUAGGGAUAAUCCCAAAUUCUAUCUUCUGUUACAUUUUAAGGUUCGCCUAAUAUAAGGAUGUUCUUAUAUGAGAAUGAUCUCAUCAGCCAUUGGAUUUAAAAUUACAUUUAUCUCAAUUCAAAUAGACAAAUAAUAAUUGUGCUUAUCCUAAUACAACUUGUCAUCCAACGGCUGGAAAAGUUGUUCUUAUGGAAGAACAUUCUUAUAAGGGCUCAUGCCUACAUUUAAACGUUGUUUAAAGUAAUUGCACGAUGAUUAAGAAAAUCAUUGAGCAAUUUCAAUUAUAGAAAAAAGUAUUAUAUUCGACUAGUUGUCCUUUUAUCAAUCCUCUAAAUCUUUAAUUAAGAGAGAGAAAGGUGAUAAGGAAGAGAGAAAUUGUGUAAUUUAAUGGAGAUAACAAAAGACAAGGGUAAAGUUGAAAAACAAUAAUUAAUACUUCCUUAAUUUUCUGAAAUGAUUGACGAAGUGGAAUGAAAAUUUAUUUUUAAAGCAACACUUAAAAGUGGAAUGGAGGGAGUGAUGUUGGUUUUAGUGAUGAAAAGUAUAGCUGGUGAGGCACACAAGGGUAUCAGUUUGGUGUAUAGAAAGUAGUUUGUUUCUUGAUUCACGCCAUGUAACUUUAUCGAAGUAUGGAAAGAAAGUAUUCAACUGAUUUAAAGCAUAUGCUAUCAUGAAUGAUUUUGAAAGAAACACUAUUAAUUUGAUGAUUGAAGGUGGGACUUGGACAAGUUUGCACUUCUUAUUAUGACUAGUAUUAUUAUGAAAGCAUUUUUCUGAUUGUCUUUUUUUCUCUUCUGGCCAGGAAGGAAAGGGGGUAAGGGCAGAGCAUAUCCAUGAAUCAAAUGAGCAAAACUAGUUAUUGGUUUUACAUCAUUUCAGUUUUCCCCACAGAAUUAUGGGGUAUCAUGUCCUUUUAGUCCCUGGUCUCCCCCAGAAAAUUUGCCAAUGCUGGCACCAUAAAAUGUAUUCAGAAGACUCCACAUUCAUUGAUGUAAUAAUUUAAUAAGAGAGAUAUUAUGCGAAUGUCUUCACAUGUUGACACGAUUUUUAGUGGGUAAACUGCCAUCUAAUGAUAUAAACUAUCUUUUCUUGUUUAGCAAUCAGUUCUGUUUACUUAUGUCAUAAACCAUUUGGAUAGUUAGUACAAUCAUAUCUUUUUAUUUUACCAGGCUAUAUCUUGUCUUUUAUUCUAUUGUGGUAGAAGAUGGUUUCUUGUGCUAUGGGAAUUUCUGGAGGCUUAUUGUGGUAGAAGAUGGUUUCAUAAUUCGGGGGCAUACUUUUAAUUGCUUGCUAUUGUUUAUUUCUUUGUGUUUAUAUGAGGAGGAUACUUCAUGCUCUUGUAGUCUGUUUUAUUUCUGUUUUAAUAAAAAAAAAUGGAAGCUGAUUUUCGUAACUGGGCAGGUGCACCUUGACUAUCUUGAAGCGGGGGCUGAUGUUAUCAUCACGGCCUCUUAUCAGGUACUAACAACAAACACUUUCUUUGUCUUUCUCCACGGAAGUGACACUCAGUUUAUAUGAAUUUGGACAGGCUACCAUUCAGGGAUUUGAAGCCAAAGGCUUCUCUAGCCAAGAAGGCGAAGCCCUGCUUAAGAAAAGUGUGGAAAUUGCUUGUGAGGCCAGAGAUAUUUACUAUGAGAGAUGCCAAACAGGUGCUUGUGAUGGUAAUAAUGACAAUAGGGUUCUGAAACAGCGUCCCAUUUUAGUUGCAGCUUCUGUUGGCAGCUAUGGAGCUUAUUUGGCUGAUGGAUCUGAGUACAGGUGAGUCCACUUGUUAUUUAAAACAUUAAAUGAGCUGCUUUUCUGUUGAUAUCACUUGUAUCAAGCACCAAGUUCAGGCAAACAUCUCAAAUCAAUGUUGACUCUGCACGUCUGGUUAAACAUAUCCAUUAUAGAAGUGAAACUUUCUCAUUGUUCUUUCACAUUCUCAGUGGGAUUUAUGGUGAUGACAUUACCCUGGAAACCUUGAAAGAUUUUCAUCGCAGAAGGGUUCAGGUAUUGGCAGAUUCAGGUGCUGACCUCAUUGCAUUUGAAACAGUUCCAAAUAAGGUUGAAGCUCAGGUAUUAGUUUGCUUCUUUUGAUAUCUUAACAUUUUUUCCUUUUGUUUCUUGGAAAUUAAAAGGACAUUUGCACUUGGUUUUGGGAAGCUAUAGAAAAGAAAGGAAGAGUAAAUUGGGGAGCGAAGCUUGCUUAGUUAAUUAUUGCUGCCAUGUUAAUUUUGGUGUAAAUUAUCUCAUUGACUUUUCUGUUCUUUCAGGCUUAUGCUGACCUAUUAGAGGAAGAAAACAUAAAAAUCCCUGCAUGGUUCUCCUUUAACUCUAAGGAUGGUAUCAAUGUGGUUAGUGGUGAUUCUUUGCUUGAGUGUGCUUCAAUUGCUGAAUCAUGCAGCAAGGUAGCUGCUGUGGGAAUCAACUGCACGCCUCCAAGGUUUAUUCAUGGACUGAUACUAUGUAUCAAGAAGGUGCGCUUUCAACAUAAUAGUAGUUACAUGGUUCUCCUUCAUGGUCAAUUGACUAUCCCUAGCCUAUUUACCUCCACAGUCUGCAUAUAUUUCCUACAAAAGUAUUUUGCCAAAGUUUGCUUGGACCGCAAAUUUGGAUUUGAGUUUUAAAAUGUAAAAUCAUAAAAAUUCAAGAUAAUGUGAAAUCUAGUACUUAAUCAUUUCAAAUGCCUAGCUAUCCAAAUCCACGGAAUGGUUGUUUCAUUGUUUUUGUAAUUUUUUAAGAGCAAUUUUCCACAAUGAUAAUGAUUGUUAUGCUUGCUUGUUUAAUCUUGAGAUGCCUUUUAUGAUGGUAUGAUAUGCAGAUGACUAGCAACAGUAAUUAUACUUCCACUGAGACAAGUGACACCAAUUGAAUAUUGUAUGUGUGGUUUCUAUAUUAUGCCAUAAUAGUUUUGGCCUUCAAUCUGAACUAAGAAGUUUCUGCUUUCAGCAUUUGUAAAUGUUUUGGGAAUUAGUUCCUCUCUUAUUUUUUUUAAAAUCUUAGUCAGAAUAUACUAGGCUAUCUACUUCUUGAGAAACUUACUUUCAGCCUCUUCAGGUGACAUCCAAACCAAUACUUAUAUAUCCAAACAGUGGGGAGAGUUAUGAUGCUGACCUAAAGGAGUGGGUGGUAAGUUAUAUUUUGCUUCAUUGUUUGUUUUCCUGUGAAAUACAAAGAAAGUACCUUCAACUUGUUCUUUUAAAUUACAUUUGAAGGAACAAAUCAAACCUUGUAGUUUUAAGUAAAACAACAUUCACCACUGCAAAAUCUGAAGCUAUUUCCAGAAGUAAUAGUCAGCAAUAUGGCUUAUUGAAGAUUCUGGAAAUUUUCUUUUGAAUCUUUAAAAGAAUAGGGAAAAGGAAAUAUGUCAUUAUCCAAUUUACUUCAUUUCCCCUUCUUUUUCGUAUCAAAUGCUCGCAGCUUUGCAGCUAGCCUGCAUUUUAAUAUGCUAAAUAAACUAACAGUAUAUGUUUAUAUUGCAGCAAAAUACUGGGAUAUCAGAUGAAGAUUUUGUCUCGUAUGUAAACAAAUGGUGUGAGAUUGGGGCUUCCCUCAUUGGAGGUUGUUGCAGAACAACUCCUAAAACCAUCCGCGCUAUAUACUGGACUCUCCGCCGGUAGGUAUUCUGCUCUGCACUUACAAAUCUGACGAAGCUGUCAAAAUGGCUUACGUUGUCUGGAUACCUUUGAGGACUCGGUUGUGUCAGAGAGCAGAGAAAUGUCGCCUUUGAAGCUCGGUUCAAAUUUCAUAGUACACAGGAUCAUGAAUAUGCUGGCUGUAUAAGGUGUUGUAAGGAUCAGAGUUUACAGCCUUACUUACUAAAACUCGUGUCGAAUUUAAAUUUAAAAAAUAAAGUUCCUCUCCUAUUAUCUUCACAUUUGUUUAUUUAUUUAUAAAUAAAAAUACUUGUUUUAAAAAAAAACAAAUUUAUUUAUGCCAAUAUACUUAAAAUUGUUAAAUUUUUUAACAUAAAUUAUAUUUUUCAUCAGCUCAUAGAUUAUAAACUGCAAUUUUAUUUGUAAUGCUCAAGAUGACUGAAUUAUUAACGAAAAUGCCACGCCUGAUUUUCCAACAAUUUCACUAGUUUGCAAAUGCCUUUUUCAGUUAACCGAAAGCUCACCUUGAAGAAGAAAAAUCUCUACUACUCGAAGCAACACAUAAGAACUUAUAAGAAUUUCUAAUUACACAGUAAUGGAGUUUUCACAAUAACAGCAUAGCUAUAUAAAGCGUUACUAGUUACGUGUCAAAGCCAGAGUAGAUACCACUUUCCCUUGACAACCUCUUCUCUUCUUCAACAAAAUUCUUCCCUCGACUAGCUUGACCAAGAUCGCGUUUUCUCUUCUCCUUCUGAGAGAAACUAAGGUUUUUCUUCUCUUUAGAAGUUUGCACAUUUGUCAAUCGCUCGGCAUCUAACAAGGCAGCUCUGGUUUUUUGCCGUUGUUCGUAAGAUUCUUCAACCGCCUCGAUCUCACGACGUUCUUUGCCAGUAGACCAAGCCCAGUCUGGUUUUGUGUCUUCUUUCGGCAGGGGCACACUCAGGACCGACAUUCCGCCUUUAUAGCCAUGUUGCUUCAGUACAUCAAAAUCCACAGCGCCACUCUUACGCCUCCCGUACUUGCCUAGAUAUAUAACAUAUGCAGAGGAAAGCAAAAUUUUGCAUCAAUACCACAAGAUAUUGAGAAAGAGGAGAGGAACUGUUUAGAGAUAUUUGCGUUUUGCAAGCUAAACAUCGUCAAGAACAACAUCCCAUUCACUAACGUAGUUAAAGAACAGUAAGGACUACAGUUACGGACGAGAAAGAUAUUUUCCCCCAUUUUUCUCACUUUCAUACAAUAUGUACCCUUUCUUUUGGUAAAUAUGCCAUGAAUCUUUUAAAAUACCUUCAGACUUCUUUUCCUUGGAUUGAUGGCCUUUGUUAGAUUUUGACACGUCCCUUCCUUUCGUCUUAUCAACAUUACUAUCUGAAUUUGAUGAUGAAGAUUCAUCAGAAGAUGAUGAAUCCUCUUCGUUAUCGCUCAAUGGCAUUGGCCUCUUCAUUGUACAAAUGUAUAGCUAUAAACCUAACAAAGGACUCAAAACACUCGAUUAGAAAUUUAGAUCAAAACAAAAUCAUGAAUCAAUAAUAAAAAGAUUGAAAAACUGAAAAAUACCCAGAGAAAAAGCGAGCUUCAUUACCAGGAAGAAACCUUGAGCUUGCUCUGGUAUCGGUGGGAGGGAGUGGAGGUUAGGGUUUCUGCUUUGCAAGGGGAGGCUCCGAGGGUCUCAGUUUGACUGGUAAUAUUGCUGUAUCAUGCUUAAACGGCAUCGUUGUAUCUGUUUUUCUUUAAUCACGCAUUCAUAUUUACAAAAACACCCUCAUAGGUUGGACUUGGACCCGAUGGACAUUAAAGUUAGACCUCUAUCCAAAGAAGAAAGGCGCUCUAACGACGUCGUUGUUGUUGUGUUAUUAUGCGCCAGAAAGUUGGAGAGGGAAGGAUUUGGGGCGGAAGGGUUUUGCAGUUUAGUCCAUCUUCGAGUUAGAGGUUCUGCUCUCUACCGCCGGCUCGUACACUCAAACCAUCAGAAGGUAAAUCCUCUUGUGCACAAAUUCAAUUCUAUUAACUGUUCUUACGAGCUUUGCGAAUGUGGAUAAUUGUGGUUGCUGAACGUAUUAAUUAAAUAUAACGACUAUUCUAUUGAACAAAAGAUAGAAAAAUCUGAUGUGUUGAGCAUGUGAAUAUACAAUGCUGUAACUUGCUACAUAUACUGAUAUUAUUAGACAUGUCCAACAAUCCUUAUUUCUCCUCACCUUAACGAACAAUUUUCUGUUGUUUGAGGCAUUAAAAGAGAAUAAAUCACCGGAAAUAAGUUAAUGGUCGAUGGAAAAUAACUUGUAAAUUUGGGAAACAACUUCUUGUUGAUGAUAGCAUAAAAAGGCUUGACGAUAAGGGGAGAGAGAGAUUCAUGUUUUGUCAUGAAUGCAUUUGGAAUAUCGUCGAAGGUUAUAUAUUUUUACAUAUUUAUAUACAAUUCAUCUUAGUACAUUGAAAUAUUUACUUUUAACCAAUUCAAAACGGCUCAAUUAGUAGGUCUGCCAGUAAUUAUAUGUGAUGUUACGGAUUAAACCAUAUUUAUUUCAGGACAAACAAAAAAUAGUUCUAAUUGUUUUGUUCUAUUGUUAUCUUUUAGCACAAUUAAAAAGGCUACAAAAGUAUUAGAACAGUGAAAUAAAAACCUUCUCUGUAUGUUUAACUUUGGUUAAUAUUUUGUGUUGGUUUGUAAUUUCACCAGGUAAUUUUCUUUACAAUUACACAACUGUAUGGAGAUCAAUUCAGAUGUUAAAGAUGGCUCGCUUAUUCUGAUAAAGCAAGGCGCUGAAGCUGUGAGUUUUAUUAUAAUUUUUGGGGAAAGGACACAAAUAACACAUUCUUGCCUUUUAAUUUUUGAGUUGCAUAUAUCCUUCCUUUUUUAUGCGUAGAACUUAUAUUAUGCAUUUUUGUUUAUGAAAGUUUCCACUUUUCAAUUCUUAAAAAUAUCUUUUUCAGCUUGUCUUGUUUGGUAAUUUAUUUCAACUGCUUAGAAAUGUACUUUGGAAGUUGCAGUUUCUUACACUCGUGAUGAUUGUAUGCUUUUUCAGAGGGUUUAUGAGUCUACUUUUGUUGGAAGACAGUCUAUUGUCAAGGAACGCUUCUCAAAGAAAUAUAGGCACCCAUCUUUGGAUUCUAAACUCACCCUUAAGCGUCUAAAUGCGGUUAGUUACUUAUAUAAGGCCUAUUUUGCUUGCUUUUCUCUGUGAAUGAUGAAGCGAGCUCUCUGCUGUCUGAUAUUUUUCCAUGUACUAACAUUUGGAGCAGGAAGCAAGGUGCAUGACAAAGGCACGACGACUUGGGGUUUCUACUCCUGUGCUGUAUGCUCUGGAUCCUUUGCUGCAUACGCUCACAUUUGAGUAUGUGGACGGUCAUUCUGUGAAAGAUAUCUUUCUUGAGUUUGGGUUACAUGGUGUUGUGGAAGAACGUUUGGCUGAUAUUGCAAUGCAGAUCGGCGAUGCAAUUGGAAAACUACAUGAUGGUGGCCUCAUUCAUGGUGACUUGACCACUUCCAACAUGCUAAUCCGCAAUGGCACUAAUCAACUGGUGAAUUAUUGUAUAGGUUAACCUUUAUUUUUUGGGAGGAAAGGGGUAAUUAUAUUUACUUUUGUAUUUGCAUCUAAACUAGAAAAGGUAUCUUUUCCCAGGUGCUCAUUGAUUUUGGUCUGAGCUUCACAUCAACCCUUCCCGAAGACAAGGCAGUUGAUUUGUAUGUACUUGAAAGAGCCUUGCUUUCUAUGCAUUCUUCAUGUGGCAAUGUGGUAAUUUAAUAAUUUUCAAUUCUGAUCAUUCCAAUUUAACUCAUUCUCUGUUGGAUUGCUGAUAGACAUACAAAAUAAAUUUUGAGAUAUAUUUUCUGUAGUUUCAUCAUUUUAUGAUUUUGCAAGUGGAAACUGCAGGAAAUGUCUUGAUGGCAUGAUUUAAUGAAAUCCUCAUUUCCCCAUAACUCAUCAAAACGGUUGUUAGAAAAUAGAUCCCAAUCUUGCUUUUAAUUUCCUCUCAAACAUUUUGAAAUUGUGAAAUAAUAUUUAAAACUUGAAUUGAAUAGAACCUUGCACAACAGUAUUUGACUACCAUGGCAUGUGUUCUUGUAUAGAUGGAUCGCAUAAUUGCUGCAUAUAAGAAAUCUUCAAAACAGUGGUCAUCCACCAUGAACAAGCUAGCCCAAGGUGCUACUCUCUCUCUCCUAUCUUUUCCUGUGUGUGCUUGUCAUCUUGUUCUUACCUCUUAUUUUAUUUUACAACAUUAUUACAGUUCGCCAAAGGGGCCGAAAGCGCACCAUGGUUGGAUGAGCCUUUCUCCUGCCAAGGAAAAGAUGCAGAGGCAUCUGUUGAAUUGAGUAUGUGGUCUGUUGAUAUGGUUAAUGGUAGGGAAAGAUUUGUAGCUUUAUAUCUGCAAAUUGCAGCUGUAUUCCUAUAGUUACGUACUGUUAUUCUCUUGCAUGUGAUGGUUCAAUAUGCCACCGUUGAAAAGAUUUGAGACAUCUAAAUGAAAUGAUUAUUGGUAUUUGCAGUUGAAUUGAAACUGAGUUUGUCAUUUGUACUGUAAGUUUCAAUGUAAUAUCCUCACAAAAAAAUUAUCAUGUUCAGUUAUACGCUAAAGAUGCUUUCGUUAAAUAUAUUCUAUGGGCCUGUAAAAUUUCUUUAGCCCAUUUGUUGGAAGUAGUUUUAGACCAGGCCAGGCCAGGCCCAUUACUCAGCAAUUAGCAAAAAGCUUACAAUAGCCCACGUGUCUAACUUUUCCCGCCAAUUGUUCCCAUCUUUUUCCUCGAUACUAUACCAAAAACCAGGAAACUGCUAAUACAAUUUGACAGUAAAAUCGCCAUAUAUGGAUCAAAAAUACCAAAACACGCACGUAAAACUACUAGCCUUCGAUCUUCUCUCUCUCACUCAACUUCCAUCUUUCUCCUCCUCAGACCUAAUCUCCUUCUCUCGUUUAGGCAAGUCUUUCUCACGCGCCGAAAUCCUCGGCAUUGUCACCUCCCGCGAGCAUAAACCAAACAAAUUCCUCAAAUUCACGAUCGACGAUGGCACCGGCUGCGUUAGCUGCGUUCUCUGGCUUAACCAGCUCACUUCCCCUUAUUUUUCUCGCCGCAGCCCUCCAGAUGUUCGAUUAAUUGCCGACAUGGCCAGUCAUUUUGCCUCAGAGAUUAAGAUCGGUGUUGUGGCUUGUGUGCGCGGGAGGAUUACGAGCUAUAGAGGUGCGGUGCAGAUCACUGUCUCCGAUGUUGUUAUUGAGAGAGAUCCAAAUGCGGAGAUCCUCCAUUGGUUGAAUUGCAUUAGACUUGCGCGUAAUUGCUACGAUGUAAGCCCUCUAUGUAAAUAGUGCAAUUCGUUUUUAAAUUAAGUGCUUUUCGGUUUUCACUGUUGGUUUCUUUCCUAAUUAAGAUGGUAACGUACUAAUGUUAAUAUCUUGUGAUAAUGAUAGAUGAUUCAAUUUACUUCUAUGUCAAAUUAAGUCUUUAUUUCUUUGUUUGAUGGAGCCCAUUGACAGUGAAAGCAAUUGUUGAAACAUGUUACUCACUGGUGUGGAGAAUUGUUUAAUGGAACCUACCGGUAUGGAGUUAUUCGUUAGAUAGUUAAGAACCUGAGAGCUACAAACCAAGCAAUGACAAAAUAGUAGAUGAUGGUGAUGGUAAGAAUUAAAGUUUUGCCAUGUGAGAGAGCCAAAACAAUAGAGCAUUUUCUGCCUUUGUUGGCCAUACAAAGAUUUUUUCAUUUAUGGCCAAGUAUUUGAAAAGUACUGAACGAUUGUUACUUGGUACGUCAACCACUAACUUAAAUUGAAUUAGAGUUAUGAUUUAUGGUGGAUGUUAUGACUCACUUAUUCAAGCUCCACCAUUUUACAUUAGGCUUAUCAGUAGGUAGAAAUAUAUUUUCUUUAGCUGGUACCUUUAAAUGGUAAAUGGAAGCAUUUUCUUGAAUCACUGAAGCACAUUCUUGAAUCCUGACCAAUUAGAUUAAUGAAGAAAUGUAAUCAUCAGCAUGCUGGUGAACUGUGGGAGUUAAUCAUAUGCCUUUAAUCUAACAUAAUUAUGAUCCAUAAGAAAAAUAAUGGGCUAAUAUUUUCAUAUUACUAAGAGCAUGGAAUUCAAAUUACUGGUGUUAACUUUCAAGUUGGAUGUAGUUGUAGCUUGAAGUGACUUAGAAGAAUAAAAGUGUCUUCUGCAAAUUUUUUGCUGGUCCCCAUUUACAAGCCUCUUGCUUUAUUACUUUUGAAGUAAAGUUCUUGUUAUUAGACAUUUAAUGUUAUUCGUGUCAGAGCGAACUGUUUUGAAUUGUUGAAUUGCUUCAUCGAAUUUGACUAUUUUAAUUAAAAACCCAAUAUACUUGGCAGUGUUUUUACCCGUCGUGUUGACAUGUUAGGAACAGAUACAACCCUUCAAUUUUUUUUUUUUGCUCUUAUAGGUGCUCCUGAUACUUGUUAGAAUAGCUGUUGUUCCAUGUAGGUAAUUUUAGAUAGCCAUUCUACCGGUAUUGACAUUUUCCUUUAAAGACCUGGGAUUUUUGUAGUCAUAUUAUUUCUUUUAUGCUUGUAUUUAUAAAUCUCCAAUUAUUAUCGUGAAGUAAUUAGGAACUCUUUUUUAAGCAAAACAAGAUUCUAUGUCAUAUCUGAGUCCACUUGUGUUGGGAUUAAAAGCUUAUUUGAACAAACUAAGACUGUAUUAACUUGAAAGAGUGAGAUGGAACAAAGUCUAUUUAUUCAACCUGCAAUGCCGUAAGCAACCCAAUUGGAGCAAAUAUGAUCAUUGUAGACGCAACCAAUAAACUCAGGAGAAGGGGACUUGUUCAAAUUGUAUGCAAGAAAAUUGGUCUCUCUCUAAACUUGUUAGGGAGGAGAAAUCAUUAGGUAGGAGAGUAAGACUACUAACUACAUUUAUGAUAUUUCCCUCACAAAUGUCAAAAUAUUCCUAUGCUUAUGUGGAGAGACAAGAAAAUUACGAGUCCUAUCAAUUUUUGGCAAAGAAAUAUUACAGUGGUCAAAAUCUGUGAAAAGAAAGAUAAAUGGAUUAGACAUAGACUUGAUGAUUUGAUAGGCAACAUGAGGGAUAGGAAAACAAAAAAUGCAAGAAAGCCAAUGACUAGAUCUUUGCCCAAGUCAACGAAAUGAAAGAAAACGAAACCAAGUUUAAGGCGGACCACAUACUCAAUUUUCUACCCAAAGUGAAAACCUUCACAUCAAUAUGAAGUGUUACAAGUCAAUGCCUUCUUGUGUGAAGCUUCAUUACGUACCUAAACAUAUAAAUGGAGGACCUAUGGUGGAAAUGCUGUGAAUUGUAGUAGAGAAGACGUCAGGGAAGUUGAACCAGGAGAAUAAUUGAGAAUAGAUGAAGAGUAUCAGUCGUACCAAGAUGAUGAAUCAACUAUUCAAAUCCAAUGCUUUUGUUUAGGCUUGACAUUAAACCUGUGUGGCCCUUCUAAUGGACCAUUCUCAAAAUAUCUUUCUCAUAGAUACAAGUAGUUCCUAGUAACGCACAGGAUAUGGACCGGCCUAGAUCCAAUUCUUGGCCAUGUGACUUAAGUUCACCAUCAUUAAUGCAGCUACCCAGAAUGCAUCCAAAAGUUUUUUACUACUCUCUUUAUCAAAAUAUUGUUUACGGCUAUAAAUAGAGAAAAAUCUCAAUGUUUCAAGUACGUUUCCGAGUCAUCUGUCUCUUGAAAUUAAGCCACUGUGCUUUUAAUAGCAAUUUAUAUUCUAAUUAGAUAGAAAAGGAGAUGCUGUUUGCUCCUAAAAUUAGUUCAUUUGGCAUCGAGUUCAUAGCGGCGUUUCAAAAUUAUAUUUUGGCUUUUCUUAUUUUUACUUUUCAAUAUGUUUUGCUGAAUUGUGGGUAUUGGAAAAGCAGUUUGUGAAGAAAAAUCUAAGCCGAAGGCCAAAUGGAUACUUAGAUAUUAGCAUGUUUCCCAUUCUAUAAUAAAAUGGGGAUUUUAAAAGCUGAAAAAGCAAAAGAAACAGAAAGAAAAUGGAAUUCCCCUCGUCUGGAGAUACUUUGCCCAAAGUAUAAAUCAAAUAUCAUCCUUUGACUGCCUCGUUUAUCUAUCUUUCCAUAACUAUUUCUCACAUAAUUUGAACAAAAUCCCGGUUUUGAAAAUGAAAACUAUCUUUUCUUGUCCUAAUAAAUCGUUACUCCAGCUGCAAUUUUAUACACAGAUAGAAAACAUUUUUUUCGAAUCAAAACUAUUAUUUUCAUAUUCUCGUAUUUAAAGCGUUUGCAUGUUUCUUUAAAAAAGAAAAAAAUGUAUUUGAUGAAACAAAUUGCUCCAAAGCUUAUGGAUGCUGGACCAUAAAUCCAUUAUUGGUGAAAUAUACCCAAGCAUAGACCUAAUCGAGACACGUGAAUGAAGAAAAAAGAAAAAAGAAAAAAAAAAAAUUUAAUUGCAAUAAUCAAACUCGUUAUAAUGAAUUAGAUCCAAUUUAGGGAAUAAUCUGACGGCUGAAGGUCUACAACCCACGUGGCAAUUUGGUAGAAGAUAAGGUACAAUCCAUGUAAGAGAGAGAUGGAAAAGAAUCAUAAAUUCAUUAUAUGUUUUAUUGAAUCAAAGGAUAUUAUUAUGUGGCGUCCUGUUAGAUACCAUUCUAAUGAAAUAUGGGUGUAUCAAAACAGUCUCUCAUUUAAGAAAAUGAGAGAUGUUGAAGGUGUGUGCGGAAUCCUCUCCUUCCCUCUUGAUAAAGCAUUUAACUCAUAGGGCCCCAUUCCUUCUUUAAUUUUGCUUCACUUCUUCCUCUACUUCUUCUACAGGUGUGGAUUUGCAAUGGAGAGACCUGCACCUGUCAAAUUUAAUGGUCCUACAUCACUCACCUAUAGUGUUUUAUGUUGCCCUCUAGUAUACUAUACCGUACACCAACUAAGUUUUUUUUGAAGUAAUUAGCAUGUGUUUGGACAAAAUUAAUUGUUUUAGUAGCUAUUAACUGUUAUAAUAUUUGUUAAUUGUUUUUUUCUCAAAAACAUUAUAUCGCCAAACACUAUAAGUAAUAGAAAUAAUUAAAACGCUAAACAACUGUUUUGAAAUUGUUUUCUCUAAUUGUUUUUUAAGUAGCUUUUAGCAUUUUUACUGGUUAAGACGCUAAUUACUAAAACAACUAACAACUACUAAAAUAACUAAUUUUACUGAACAAAUCCCUCUAUAUAGGGUUAUAAUAUUUAUUUUCAAUUUAGAUUGUGUAUGAUGGCUCUGAUGAUACUUAGUCGUGAUGGCUAAAGGGAUGCACUCAUAUCAAAAGAAAUACUAGUUGUUAACUUAUUAUUGGUUUUAAUUGAAAUUAUUCUUUGGACAUCUUUCUUAGGGAAAGCAAACAAGAAAGUGUUGUUGGUAAAAUAAUAGCCUAAUACUAUAGUACAAAAGAAAAGCACAUUACGACCAACUAAUCACAAAUUUUAUGCUUAAUUACGCACUUAACAAUUGUCAUCAACAGAAACAGAAGCUCUCUCUCUCUUUCUGUCUCCAUAAACCAUGAUAAUGGAUUGCCACGUUGGUUGAAAAGAAAGACAGUUUCGCUGGACAACUACGACUUGUUCCAGUUUCGACAAAUCUAUUAUUGGAACUAAAUGGCUUCAAAUGCUAUAGUGGAAGCUUCACUAAAGGGGAGGUUGGUGGUGAGGGUGUAAUCUUAUUAUACUACUAGUACUAGUAGAAGUAGUAGUUAGGGAUUCCAAAUUUGGAGAUUUAAAUGAUAAUUAGGGUUUGUUCCUUUUGAUUGAUUCGCCGUCAACUCUAUUAAUUUAAUCCUAGAACACAUAAACUAGUCUGUUGUGUUAAUUGAUUGCUAAUAACCUUGAAAUAUGAAAAUUAAACACUAAUUAAGCUAAGAGAACCACGACAGACACGGUCUCCCACAUGAGGCAUGUGUAAUAAAGAUUAGUCAAUUAGGAAAAUCAAGCUUAAUUCAAGAAAAUAACUAUGUGCCUUAACAUUCAGAUAGGUGCACAAAACCCUAGGAGAUGGCACGGGCAGUGGAUGCGUUGGGCUAGGGUUUGGAGACCCUUGAAGGCUUAACAAGAUCCUACAUCCAUGUAAACAAAAUUUUAAGUCUCAAAGCACAAACAUUGUUGCUUUAAUCAAUGAAUGAAAACAAGUUAAUACUUUACAAGACAUAAAACUAGUUGAAAUAAAAAGGGCAUUAAUUUGGCAAAAUUGCCUUGUUUCUCUUGGACACUAGUCUAGAUUGAGUCAAAAAGAGCCUCUAAAUUGUGUAGCAGACAGGCACAUGGACACAUUACUAAAAAGCAACAAAGAAGGUUUUGAGGAGAUUGAUACAUUACCUUCUCCAAGUUUAUAAAUUUCCCCCAACCCCAUAAAUUGUAUUACUACAUAGAUACAUUGGAGAAAUUAAUGAAGCAAACUCUUCUUCAUACAAAAAUUCCCUCUAUUAAAAACCUAUACGUCUAUUCUAUAUUAUACUUGUCUCAGGCCCAAACACCCACAUUGAAGGAACAGUCCUAACCAACAACCAACCAACUAAAACAAAUUAAAAAAAAUCCCCUAAACACAUUCCACAGAUAUAUUUAUAUAUAGAGAAAGGGAAACACCAAUAUUUAACAAUGUCUUUAUCCUUUUUGCAUCAUCUUCAAAAUUCUCUAACAAGAAGAAAGACCAAAUUGUAGAAUAGGCAGUGCCUUAAGGUACGCAUAAGUGAUUAGAAUAGAUCAAACCUAACUUCGCUGACCAAGGGGCGAGCGCAGAAGCGAUAGAGGAGAAUAGUUGUAAUUCUUUAGUGUAGAGUUGUAUUGGGUGUGACUUUACUUGUGAGUGGGUGUGCCAAAGUACCUCUUUGGCUCUUCUCUUCUGGUGCCUAAACAAAACUAUAGGUUAAAAAAAUAAAGGCCUCGGAUUUGGAGCAAGAAUUAAAAAGGGUCUCAAAGAGAGAGAGAGAGAGGGAGUUUUUGUGUGCGUGUGGGAACUCUUUCAUCUUGCACUUGCACUUUAUUCUCUCUUCUUCAAAUUCGAUACUUUGCUCUGUGCCCAGAACGAGGUUUUUUGUUGCCUUGAGAACUCUCUAUCUUUCUCUCUCUUCAUCUUUCUCCUUUUUAUGUCUCCUACAUUGUCUUGUUCUACUCUCAGAAUCUCAUAGUCUUACUUCCACGCAUCAGUUCUUUCGUUCUCUAUCUGUAUUUGUCCGUUUCCUGUUUUAGUUGCCUCUCUUUCAGUUUCUUUUCUUUCCUCAUUUUCUCUGUUUUAUCUGAAAUGGCUACAGAAGGGGAAUAGAGAGAAGAACUUCUUCGUUCUUACAAUUGUAACUGGGUAUUUCUUGAGUUUCUCUUCCUAUUUAUAAAAUGCCGAGAAUCUGUGAAUUUCUUGCUGCCUCAAUUGUUUUCUCUUCGUUACCUAAGGAAAACAGAGCAUUGCCCAUUUGUUCUUUUUUUUUUCUCUUUUUAUUUAAUCAUUGAGUUUCUUCGAUUUUCCCCUUGGUUUUAGCAUAGAACAGGAGAUUACGCCUUUUAUAGGCUCUUCCUUAAAAAACUUCGUUUCCAGGAUUCUUUCUAUUCUUCAACUCUCACAUUUUUUUCUGAGCAAAACCCAUAAGAUAUCUGAACAGAAGUUUUAUAAACAGGAGUUAAAAAUUUUGGAAGGCUUUAUGAAUUUGUGAAACAAUGAGAGAUGGGAACUCGAAGAAUAGCAAGGUUUUCAAGAUGCCUCCUUAAAUAGAUUCUUUAUUUAUUUAUUUAUUUUCAUGCAUAGAUUUUUUUAGUGAUUGCUGACUCUGUUUCUGUGUUAUUGGUGAAGCUUUCAUGGCCCAAGACACUGGUCAAGAAGUGGUUCAAUAUCAAGAGCAAAGCUGAGGAAUUUCAAGCAGAUGAUGUUGUUUAUGGAGGUGAUUAUUAGUCUUUUCUUCUUCUGGAUUUGGUAAUCUUGGCUGUUUAUGCCAAGAACAAAAAUGAGAUUUCUUUUUCUCUGCAACAUAGUAACUGAGAUGUGUUUGGAUGCUUCUGGACCCUGAAUAGUUAGCUUUAUUAUACACCCGCAUCAAUGUUUAUUUCGUACAACAAAGAUGUGUUUGGAUUUUAAUGUGGGUCUGCUACUUCUAUUUGCAGCUAGAGAUCUGUUAAUUUGUUCUUUUCCGGCUUCUGAAUUUCAAUUUUUUUUUUUUUCUUCUUGGCCAAAAUAUAUUUGUUUAUUCCGGUGUUUGAAUAUUUUGGAUUGAUGCAUUGACAGUGGAAAGAGCAUAGCUUUAACCGCUUUAUUGCAUUUCUUUUUCAGGUGAUGAUGAAGAUUGGAGGAGCAAGUUCUCAGAGAUAGAGGCAUGCACCAUCAAGAAAAGCAAAACAGGUUCAGUAUCAGACCCCGAAUGUAUUGCUUUGGACCACACUUUCCUUUAACCCUCAAAAUCUUGACAAAAGAAACAUUUUGAAUUAUUAUGGGUUUUCUUGCUUUUCAAAACUUGCCCCCUAUUCUUUUCCUAAAGCCCCUCUGAACUCUCACUUUAUUCCACAGUGAGAUUGAACAAAAGGAACUCUGAUCGAGUCCGGCGAAGUAAGAUUGAUGUUGAUGCUGCACAAGUUACUGAUGUUCACAAUUACAGGUGUGUUCGUUGUGUUCCGUGCUUUUUUGUUUCUGUUUGAAAUUUGGAUUUCAAUUUUAUUUUAAUUGCUUUGCAAAUGUAGGAUAUUUGUUGCAACAUGGAAUGUGGCUGGAAAAUCUCCUCCAGGUUAUUUGAAUCUUGAAGAUUGGCUUCAUACCUCUCCUCCUGCUGACAUUUAUGUUCUUGGGUAUUUUCAAUUAAUCACAAUAUUUUUCUCUCAUUUAUUUUAGCCAAGAAGGUUUCAUCAUACUAAGGCAACCUCUUUGAUCACAUUGAAUUUAGGUUUCAAGAAAUCGUUCCAUUGAAUGCUGGCAAUGUCUUGGGUACAGAAGACAAUGGCCCAGCCAGAAAAUGGCUAGCUCUUAUUAGGAAGACUCUAAAUAGUCUUCCUGGUGCAAGUGGUGGUUACCAUACUCCUUCCCCCAUCCCUGAUCCAAUUGUGGAAUUGGAUGCGGAUUUUGAGGGAUCAACAAGGCAAAAGGCCUUAUCUUUAUUCCACCGCCGCUCAUUUCAAUCAUUGAGCCGCAGCAUGAGAAUGGAUAAUGACAUGUCAAUCCUGCAACCUAGACUUGACCGGCGCUUCAGUGUAUGUGACAGGGUUAUCUUUGGACAUAGGCCAAGUGAUUAUGACCCUAAUUUCAAAUGGGGUUCUUCUGAUGAAGAGAAUGGACUUGGGGAUUCACCUGGUACUACUCAAUAUUCACCAAUUGACUACAGUGGUUCCUUCUCAGGGGAGGAUAGAGAUAAGCAAAUGGGGCAAUCCAGCUACUGUUUGGUUGCCAGUAAGCAAAUGGUUGGGAUAUUUCUAACAGUUUGGGUAAGAAGUGAACUCAGAGAUGAUGUCCGCAACAUGAAAGUGUCUUGUGUGGGCAGAGGACUGAUGGGUUAUCUUGGAAACAAGGUAUAUUUUUGUUUAAUGGAAACUUCUUUGAUUUGGAACCAAAAUGUGAUGAAAUAAGGAAAAAGAAAGUAGCAUUCUUAUUUUCUUGGUUUUUCCAGGGUUCAAUUUCAAUUAGCAUGUCAUUGCACCAAACAACCUUUUGCUUCAUCUGUAGUCAUUUAACGUCUGGGCAGAAGGAGGGAGAUGAGCUACGGAGAAAUUCUGAUGUCAUGGAGAUCCUUAGGAAGACAAGGUUUCCCAGAGUUCAUGGCAUGGGAGAUGAGAACUCGCCUCAAACAAUUCUGGAACAUGAGUAAGACCUUGAUCAGUCUUUUGUUCCUUAUUUUAUUUUUCCUCCUUUUAGGACUAAACGAACUUGCAGUAUCUAAACUUCAUGGUCUUGAUGCAGUCGAAUUAUUUGGCUAGGGGAUUUAAAUUAUCGAAUUGCCCUGUCUUACCGUACUGCAAAGGCUCUUGUAGAGAUGCACAACUGGAGGGCAUUGUUGGAGAAUGACCAGGCAUGUUGCCAUAUUUGUUAUUUCAAUUUAUUCCGGUGUUUGAAUAUUUUGGAUUGAUGCAUUGACAGUGGAAAGAGCAUAGCUUUAACCGCUUUAUUGCAUUUCUUUUUCAGGUGAUGAUGAAGAUUGGAGGAGCAAGUUCUCAGAGAUAGAGGCAUGCACCAUCAAGAAAAGCAAAACAGGUUCAGUAUCAGACCCCGAAUGUAUUGCUUUGGACCACACUUUCCUUUAACCCUCAAAAUCUUGACAAAAGAAACAUUUUGAAUUAUUAUGGGUUUUCUUGCUUUUCAAAACUUGCCCCCUAUUCUUUUCCUAAAGCCCCUCUGAACUCUCACUUUAUUCCACAGUGAGAUUGAACAAAAGGAACUCUGAUCGAGUCCGGCGAAGUAAGAUUGAUGUUGAUGCUGCACAAGUUACUGAUGUUCACAAUUACAGGUGUGUUCGUUGUGUUCCGUGCUUUUUUGUUUCUGUUUGAAAUUUGGAUUUCAAUUUUAUUUUAAUUGCUUUGCAAAUGUAGGAUAUUUGUUGCAACAUGGAAUGUGGCUGGAAAAUCUCCUCCAGGUUAUUUGAAUCUUGAAGAUUGGCUUCAUACCUCUCCUCCUGCUGACAUUUAUGUUCUUGGGUAUUUUCAAUUAAUCACAAUAUUUUUCUCUCAUUUAUUUUAGCCAAGAAGGUUUCAUCAUACUAAGGCAACCUCUUUGAUCACAUUGAAUUUAGGUUUCAAGAAAUCGUUCCAUUGAAUGCUGGCAAUGUCUUGGGUACAGAAGACAAUGGCCCAGCCAGAAAAUGGCUAGCUCUUAUUAGGAAGACUCUAAAUAGUCUUCCUGGUGCAAGUGGUGGUUACCAUACUCCUUCCCCCAUCCCUGAUCCAAUUGUGGAAUUGGAUGCGGAUUUUGAGGGAUCAACAAGGCAAAAGGCCUUAUCUUUAUUCCACCGCCGCUCAUUUCAAUCAUUGAGCCGCAGCAUGAGAAUGGAUAAUGACAUGUCAAUCCUGCAACCUAGACUUGACCGGCGCUUCAGUGUAUGUGACAGGGUUAUCUUUGGACAUAGGCCAAGUGAUUAUGACCCUAAUUUCAAAUGGGGUUCUUCUGAUGAAGAGAAUGGACUUGGGGAUUCACCUGGUACUACUCAAUAUUCACCAAUUGACUACAGUGGUUCCUUCUCAGGGGAGGAUAGAGAUAAGCAAAUGGGGCAAUCCAGCUACUGUUUGGUUGCCAGUAAGCAAAUGGUUGGGAUAUUUCUAACAGUUUGGGUAAGAAGUGAACUCAGAGAUGAUGUCCGCAACAUGAAAGUGUCUUGUGUGGGCAGAGGACUGAUGGGUUAUCUUGGAAACAAGGUAUAUUUUUGUUUAAUGGAAACUUCUUUGAUUUGGAACCAAAAUGUGAUGAAAUAAGGAAAAAGAAAGUAGCAUUCUUAUUUUCUUGGUUUUUCCAGGGUUCAAUUUCAAUUAGCAUGUCAUUGCACCAAACAACCUUUUGCUUCAUCUGUAGUCAUUUAACGUCUGGGCAGAAGGAGGGAGAUGAGCUACGGAGAAAUUCUGAUGUCAUGGAGAUCCUUAGGAAGACAAGGUUUCCCAGAGUUCAUGGCAUGGGAGAUGAGAACUCGCCUCAAACAAUUCUGGAACAUGAGUAAGACCUUGAUCAGUCUUUUGUUCCUUAUUUUAUUUUUCCUCCUUUUAGGACUAAACGAACUUGCAGUAUCUAAACUUCAUGGUCUUGAUGCAGUCGAAUUAUUUGGCUAGGGGAUUUAAAUUAUCGAAUUGCCCUGUCUUACCGUACUGCAAAGGCUCUUGUAGAGAUGCACAACUGGAGGGCAUUGUUGGAGAAUGACCAGGCAUGUUGCCAUAUUUGUUAUUUCAAUAUAUAAGCAAUCUGAUUUUUGUCCAACUUGAUGCGGAGCUUGGCAUCUUUUCUUGCCAAAAAAUGCUCAUUCUUACUUCUAUCGUGGUUCUUACUUUCAGCUUCGGAUAGAACAAAGACAAGGACGGGUCUUUCAGGGUUGGAAUGAAGGGAAGAUAUAUUUCCCUCCAACAUACAAGUAUUCUAAUAAUUCAGAUCGAUAUGCAGGGGACGACAGGCACCCAAAAGAAAAGCGAAGAACUCCUGCAUGGUAAUUUUCUUUAUUCUUCUUAUUUUCUCGUCGAAAAGAAAAAUGAAAAUGUUGCUGUAUAAAAUCCCAUCCAUAAUCCUGUAUGGAGCCAUGGGAGAGAAUGUGUUUUAUUUUCUAUGACAAAAAAAAUGAUCAAUCAACAAACAUGCAUGUAGGUGUGACCGCAUAUUAUGGUAUGGAAGAGGCCUCAAUCAAUUGUCCUAUGUACGUGGAGAAUCAAGAUUCUCAGAUCAUAGACCAGUUUAUAGCAUAUUUUUGGCUGAGGUUGAAUCCAUAAACCGAGGCCGAAUCAAGAAAAACAUGAGUUGUUCUAGUUCAAGAAUUGAGGUAGAAGAGUUGCUGCCUCAUGCACUUGGAUACACUGAGCUCAACUUCUUUUAAAAGAUGGAUUUCUGACUCAUGCAUAUUGUUGAAUGCCCAACAAAUGAAAAGGGAUUUUCUGCUGUACAGCCAAGAGCCAAGGUAACCUGGGGCGUGAAUUGGUUUCUUGGAUUGCUAGCAUAUCCAAGUGAUUUUACCUCACUAAGAAUGUUUUUGUUAUCCAGAUGCAGGAUUCAUCUUGAUACAAACAAGAUCAUUUUUACAAACAGUUGUUGCUCAAAAAUAUCAAACUUUUGUUUCUGUCCUCAGUUAUUCAGGCAUGUGCUUCUCUUAGUUGUCUUAUUUCUUGCAUCCUGAGAAGUAUAAAGCAGCUGAAUUGAAGGACUAUAGAAUGCAGCCUUUUCUUUCGGUACAUCCAAAAGAACCAAAUGUAGCUUUCGAAGGCAUACAUGAUAAUAUCUAUAGCCCAAAUGAAUAUGGAACCUUUCCACAUUAAUUCUACCGAGAAAAAAACAGAAAGAAAAGAAAAAGAUUCUGAAAUAUUAUUUUAAAUCAUCACUUUCCAAUUAAAGUUUUUGGUUAAAGAGAUCUCUUGCAGUUUCUAAUUUGUAUAUGUUGUUUGGUCCCCUGUUUUGCAGUUGGGGGCAGUGUCGUUAUGAGACUCUCCCUUCAGUGGUGAUAGAGACACCCUGUUGCCUACAAUCCAAUAAAGGUUGGUCCUCCACUUUCUUUCUCUUUCUCAGUUUGGCUGGACUUUUGCCAUUUAUUAUUUUAAUUUCUAUCCACACCAUUUUUUCUCUCAUCACAAUAGGUACAGCUUUUCUAUAUUUUGUCAAUAACUGCUGACUCAAAAAGAUAGCAGCAUCACAAAGUGCAAAUUCACAAACGUAACUACCAUGCCUGCAAACAAGUAUGUGUGAACAUAAAUACUAAGGUAUUACAGCUUAACUUGAUAUCCUUUUUCCUUCUUUAAUCAUAUUGCUUUGCUCCAAUGUGAAUGGAUUUGCAUAAUUAUGAGUCUUAAUUGCUCAACUACUUUCUCUGCUAAUUUUCCAGGAUAAGAACUUGCCAUACCUGCCAAAUUAAGGAGCUGUUUACAGGUCUAACUUACUGAAAAUUCAAUUUGCAAAGAAAGAAUAAAUAAAAAUCAGAUGGAGGUGUCAUUUUUCGGUCUUUCUUUGUAUUGUAUUUUGUUGUGUACUACUGGUGUAAAAGAGAGAAAAAACUGUGAAAGAAGUGGGGGAAAUGAUGGCUGCUCAUCACAAAUUUAAAAGAAGAGUUGAAGUUCUGAUAGAUAUGAAGUUUCUUUUUCUUUCUGUUGGUGCAAAUGAUUUUUCUAAAAAAGAAAAGUAACUUGCUUCAUCAUCCAUAUUGCCAUUUUAUCUUUUCUUCUAAAUUCAAGCUGAAAAUCAAACAGGACAUGAAAAGAAGAAAUAGGAAAAAGCAACAAAGCUUCAGCUUUCAUGUAGCCAUGUCAGGUGGUUAAGCAGGACGUCCUUACAAUGUUUGUGUUGGUUGGACAAUCUUGCCCCUGCCUCAUGGUUAUUGUUUUUAAGCAUCAGGUGACAGUAAUUUUCUUUCUUUCUUUAAAACCAAAGGCUAUUUUGUGGGUUUAGGAGUCAAAACUGGAUGUAAUCGGUACUUACUAUACUUCAGCUUGGUAGCCAUCUGCCUUUGUACAAUGAGGUAUAACUUAUUAACCAACCAGCCAUCUGACUGUCAGAAGCAAGAAAUUUAUGACAGUGAUGGGCAAAAAAAAACUUUUCCUUUCCCAAUAACACCCCUUGGCAUUAAUGAGAAUCACUUUUGCUUUGCUCAAUAAAAUUCCCACAGCUCUAAGUUGCAAUUAUGUUUGCUCCUAUUAGUGACAGCACUCUCUGAUACCACCACCACAGGAAGGAAGGCCAAAGAGGCAACUUUCCUUUUCCAUCUUUUGUUUGUGUCUCUCAAAUCAGGUCAACUCAGUCAAAGCUUUUUUUUUUUUUUUUUUUUUAUAAAGCUCAAUUGCCCUGAAAUUGGUCAUUCUACUGAAUUGACAUUUUAAAAUAUUCCUUUAAAUGGACGGUUUUUCUUCGAGUAAAUUGUUAAAAUGGGAGAAUUAAUUUUAUUAUUUUGAGUUAGACCUAAACAUCUGCCAAGCUUGUUUAACAUCUCUUUUAAAGAAGAAAUUGUUUAAAUUAUAAAAAUAUUGCAAAGUUAGUUAAAAGAAAAUAUAAAAAUGUUAUUUACUUUUGAAAAAUAAUUUACCCUUAACGACUAGAUUUCAUUAUAAACAUGGAGGUGGAUGAUAAAAUGGGCAUUGAGCAUUAAAUUUGCAUAGUACAGGUUUCAUUUCUGACGUGGCAGGCUGCCAGAGGUUAGGUUUGCUUCCGAGUCCUGGAAAUGGUACACCAUCGGUUAGGUUAGGCCUCGAGGUUAAAAACCUGCGCUGUUAUUCUUUUCUUUUGUUUUUUCUUUACUAAAGAGAGGUGAAAAAGGUUAAAAGAUUUUAGAACCAAAAAAAAACUCAUCACCGGAAACAGUGGGGUCUCCCGUCAAAACGGCCUUUUCUUUUUCGGACAUGUCACCGUCUCUUCUGUUUUCCGUGCCCACAUGACUUUCUUUUUCAACUUUUUUUUAUGACAGCGAAAUAGUGCGUGGAUUACACUUCUCCCAUCAACUCUUCCCACCUGUUAACACGCGCUUAAUGUGGUGUCGGAUCUCUUUUGUGCGAGUACGGUCGUUCUUAGGUUGACGGGCAGAGGAAUAGCAAAAACUAAAAAGGGUGUUUUUGCUUACGCGUGGCGUCACGGUGGGGGAGAAUAUAGUGGGUCUCACACAGACAAAUCUUUAGCCUAACGUAUUCUGCCAAGUGGCACAGCUAUUGUCUGCUCCCGAAUGUAUUGUGGAUUUUUUUUUUUCCUAAAGAUUCCCAAUCCCAUUUGUGGUUCUUGCUUUUACAUUUUUUCUGCAUAAAGAAAUUUCCAGCACUCCAAUUUCCUCCUGAAUUAUUAAAAUAAACAAUAAGCAAUUUAAAAAAAAAAAAUUCAAUUUUGAAUGAAGUUUUUUAGCCUUUAAGGAAUUAUAUCCAAUUGAUUUAUUGCACUUUUUUUAGUUUAUAUACAUAUUUUUAUGCUUACACUGGAUAUAAUAUUUAGGUUUUUUUUCUUAAUAAACUAUAUUAAAUAAUUAAAGUGGCUUAAAUUAAAAAAUUUGGAGGUAGGAUUUACUUAGUUGAUCUCCAUUAACACAAAAUUAAUAUAAUUAUAGAGAAAGAUUAGAUAAUAUUAAGGAGCAAUCUAAUCGGAAAAAUAAAACAAGAAUUGGUGUGGUGUGCAUAACAUUAACAAAUCCAAUCCAAUGAUAGAUUUAAAACGACAUGUUUGGAAGCUUUCAGGUUUAGCGUUUAGGAGAAUCUGUUAAAGCCUGUAAGGUAACCGGACAGACAUGACAUUUCCAUUGCCAACUGCCAAGCUUCUUUUCUUUUCUGCUUCUGCAUUGGGGCCCGGAAAUUCCCAUGCUCCAUUUUUUUUUUCUUAAUUAUUUAGUUAAAUAAAAUCAAAGUGGACUAAAAAUGGCGGUGCAAGCUUCCUCUUUCGUACAUCCCUGUCUCUGCCUAGCCCCACCCCACAAUCCUCCCUUCCUUCUCAAUUCCUGAAUAUUUAAAAUAAAGUGUGUAUUAGGUACCGGUAUAUUCAUGGUUUCGCAUAAAAAGAGAAAAUUAGAUUAUAUUUCACAAAAUUAACUGUUUUGGUAACCGUUAACUGUUUCAGUAGUAAAAUAUUAAAAAGUUAAAUAUUACAGGAGUUAAUAUUUUAUAAAACGUUAAUUUAACCGCUAAAAGCUAAUUAAAAAGAUAUAUUAAUAAACAUUAUAAAAGUACAUUUAAAGUUUUUUCCAAACACAGCUUUAAUAUUUUGAACGCUGAGAAUGAUUUAGAGUGUAAACAAAGGAAUUGGGAGUGACACAUCCCAUUUCAUAAGAACGUGGAAGCUUAGUUGUUUGUCGUUACUUUUAGGCAAUUUGAUAUUUUAAGAGUGAGUCGUAAAUUAAUGGGAUGGAGGAUUGCUUGGUGGCCUCACACACCUUGUCUGGUGUUAAACCAAAUCUGGGAUCCAGAUUUAAGCUUCUUUUUAUCAAAUUAAAAAAAAAAAAAAAAAAAAAAAAAGGUAGUUGCAAGUGUUCCUUUUAAGGGAACAUCAAUCCAUGUUUCAACUCAAUUAAAGAGUGAUUUGUGCAUAAUAUUAGUGAUCUGUUAGUACAUUUUAAAAUUCAAAUAUGCAAUUAAUGCCAUCUAAAACUGUCUUUAUUAGUGAAUUUCAGUUUAACAGUUGUAAAUAAAAGAAUAAAUUUGGUUGAGUUGCAAAUAAAAGUUUGUACUGAUUGAAUAGAAGUAAAGGAAGGAGACCAAAAAUCUAAGUGGGGAUGGGGGAGACGACGCCUUGGUUUCUGCUAUCUGAAACUUUUUAAUUUUGAAGAACAUGGAUUCAACAACCGAAACAGAUAUGAAGAAAAGGUAAAAAAGAAGGGCUCGCCCUCCCAAAAUCUAAUCUUCUAAAUUCUUUGACCACUAAUUGUCUUAUUUUCAACAUAUCAUCUAAUCUAAUUCAUUGAUUAAUUCCAUUUCUUUUCUUGUUAGGAGCUAUUUUAAUAUAUUAUUAUUAUUAUCUUGAAACAAAUUUUGCUACGUAGAUAGAUAAUUUGAAAAUUGAAAACUGAGUAUGAAUUGUAUUAAAAAAAAAAAAAAGAAAUAAGAAAAAAAAGGACUUGCAUUGUCAUAAAAAUCAAACAUAUUCACAUGCAAUGCAAGCUUAUCUUCUGGCAUACUAUGAAAUUUUUGGUUAAGAUAAUAAUAGCUUUUGCUUGCCUUUUAUAGUUCCAUGUUGAAGUAUGCCUCCCAAAGUGACAACGAUGGGUAGGUUUAAUACCAAUGGACCACAUGGAUUAAUAAUUUCAUUUUUAAUUAAUUUCGAAUAAUUAUGCUCCUUCUUAGUGGUCCUCACAUGCAUUUGUAACAUAUGAAAGUUGCUUAUUUAGCAGCAGGCCAAUAUUAUGGUACCAGACAAAUAUUAAUUAACCUAAUCUUUUCAAUUAUUAUUAUCUUAGCCUUAUUAAUUAGUCUGUUACUGUUAUAGACGAAUUCAUUAUUGGCGUUAUAAGUGGUGGAAUCUCCUACGGACUGACAAUCUCGUGCACAUCCAAGUGUAAGAUCAUAAUUGGAUGUGGCCCGUAAUAAUCAGGCAUCAGCCUUUGGACGCCUCCCAAAGCACACGUCGGUCUGAGUAACCGUACCCGUUUUGCUUACGCAUGCUGUGAUUUUUCUGCGUGGCAGAGAGGGUUUCUUCUGGCACAUGACGUCAAAGGACGACCUUCCAUAAAUGUGAAUUCGGAAUGCUCUAUGCGUGCUGUAAAACUUGGUGAAUGCCUACUCCUGAGUUUUCACUGAAUUUAACACCACCUCCGUUUCCAUUUUUUUUUUUUUUUUUACCAUAUGCUAUUCAAGUUCAUUAGUCUGGUUAAUUUAAAUUCACGUCAGCCGAUUUUAUAAAAGAUGCAAAAUACUCGCUCUUGAGUGUUUGACUGUUUAGAAAUCAUUAUUAAUUCUCUCAUCCCAUCCCUCGGAUACCUCCAUUUGCAAUUUUAAUAUCUCAUUCAAAUAAGAGUAUUUUUACUAUUUAUUGAGAAAAAAAUGAAAAUAAGACAUACGGUAAUUUUCUUUAUUUUUCACGCUGGGCAGAGUGCUAUUCAGAUAGAAUUAAUCUCAUUUUAAAAUGUGCUAUUCCAUUAUUUUUUAUUGACAGGAUCAUAUUUAAGAAUAAUUUGAGUUUCUCAGAGUUUGUGUCAAAGCUAAAAAGUUCAAAGCUUAAUAAUUAUCAUCAAGAAUUGUAUCCGUUUGAAUUAAAAUAUGGGUUGGGUUGACGAAAUCACACUGUAGAUGCAUGGCCCUUUCAUUAGGUCGAGGGAUGCAGUCACGCUUCAUACAACUAGGAGAGAAACGUAAGAGUAUAGGAAAUUGGAGAUAUAAGGCAGGGAAUUGAAAGAAAAAAAAUAUAUCAAGCAGCUGAAAAUAGAUUUGGUCCCCCAAUAAGAAAGUGCAAAAGUACUGGGAUUCGGAGAAUUAGUGGGUUUCAGAAUUCUGACAUAAUCUCACGCUUGAAAGUAACAGAACAGAACGCCUAUAUUUGGCAUCAGCCUGUGUCUUUGGGAACCAAAAGAAAUAAUCAAACUAUACCUUUUCAGCUAUUUUCUCUUCCAACAUCAUCAUUGCCUCAGGCUACAUGCAUAAUAUUCCAAUCCAUCACCCAAAAACUUCCUGUCAAGAAAACUAGUUCAAAAAUAUUAAAACUUUAUAAAAAUUAAAAGGGUUAAAACAAGUACCGCAGAAACUCACUCACUAGAAGUAUAGUGAAAGAUAGAAAACAAAAAAGAAAACAAGUUGCAUACAAAAGGAAAAAUCUUCUUCUAGACUAGCUAUUUGGGCAUCGCAUAUGAUCUUAAUUAAGAAAGAAUAGGGUGAUCUAAGAAAGAACAGAAAUGGAAAAUACUUAGGUACGCAAUGUACAGUUUUGUAAUUUCCAUGGAAGUCAGGUUACUAUAUUAAGCAUUCAUUAUGUACAGAACAGGUGAUGUAACCUAAGUAAUUAAUAAGCUAAUACUAUUAUCUUCUUGGUUUGAUUUUUUUUGUUACCGUUGCUUAUUGAACAAGUUGUGUCAGAACUGACGGGUGUAUUACUGGUUGAAAAAGAGAGAAGGAAAAGAAAACACUCUCUUCUCUACAGUGUGAUAUCAUUUUGGACGUAGGCUGUGUCGUCUUUAAAAUGCUACUAGUACAGUAGUACUAGUUAUAUAUGAAUCUUCUCUACCCACGUGCAUGUAUAUUUUGCUUUUGCAUUUCACCUGUUCUUCUUGUUUGUUUUAGUCAACUCAACUCACACCCUCGUUUUCCACAACGGUUUUAAGACUGUGUUUAAAUUGAAAAAUUAUGAAAGAAAAAGGUACUAACCAUCUCUUGCUCCCACAGAUUCGAAAGAUGUCACCCAUCAUUUGCUAGUUUCAAAUUUUUAAAGCUAAUUCCUUUUACGUUGGUGGCUCAUCAUUUGCAGUGAAGUCUACGUCAAACACUGUCCACGUACAUGGAACUGAUCAACAGCUUCAGCUAUAUCAUAAUACUAAUAAUAGGUGGGGGGAGGGCUUACUCUAAUUCACAAGAGAAAUGGACAUGUUCAGAGCUAAUUUUCACAUGGAUGUGCAUGUGUUAUGAAAAUGGCCAGCUAUAUCCUAAAAGUCGAAUAAGAAAGACCAAAACCAAUGGGCCCUUUGCAACAACAAAGUUGUGAACUGUUAGGUCCACUGCCCCAGCAAGAUAGGACAAGAUUGAACAACUGGCCCAAAAACAGUUUACACAACAGUAGCCUAUUCACAUAGAAAUUGGACACCAAAGAGAUCAUCAUCUGAAUACUUUAGCCACACAAAUUUACGUGUCUGCAAGACAUAAGCAAAAAGCAAUACAAUUGCCUGGGCUCGCUGGUGAACAGAAAAUAUGUGGCUUGUACAGUCAUAUGUUCAAGAUAAAAGUGAUGCUUUAUAAAUUGUUUAUGGGGAGUGUUUACAGAAGCACCUGAUUCAGAAAAGUAUCGUCGUCCGUGAAUAAUAUGCUGAUCCAAAUUAUUCUGGACAGGUAAAACACAUGCAAGAAUGACUAUUGAUAAGUCCUAAUAGGAUUUUAUGCUAAAUUUUACACCCUUUUCAAGAAAAGAAACUAUAUAGGCUUUUAGAAACUAGAAAGAUGAUUACAUGGCAAUAAGCCCCAAACAUCCAUCAUCACCUGAAACCACACAUUCACGUUCAUGCAUGCGUGUCUUAACUAUCAACAUCAAAAUAGUAUAAACGAAAUCAAAACAGUAGCGAGUGAUAGCAAAUUCAGCCCCUCAAUGCUGACAUACUCAAACCAAACCUCAUUAUUGUGCAGAUUUAGAACUUUUGAGUUAAUUGAAAAAUACAUAUUCAGGUUGUUUCAUCCUAUAAGCACAAGUAUGAUUCAACUAGUAAAAAUUUAAAGGCAUCCAUACAUCCCCCUGUUCUCCAAUAAAAAGUGGAAAAGAACGGAGAAAAUGUUAGCAGAAUUAUUCUAGGAAAACAAUGCUUUCAAUUCUAUAAGAAACUGGUAUGCUACCUAAUUAUGUCUUCCAUUCUAUUCCAAAGUGCAAGCCAAUCUCAAAAACCUGACAGCUAUGCACUACCAAAAUCAGUGUGCCAAAGUCACUAAUUAUGUACAGACUGUGGUUCCAAUGCCUGUCCGGUUGAGAACAAAAUUGAUCAAUCACCGUAGCAUUCCUUUGCCUGAAGUCGUUUUAGCCAUUUCCUCAGCUGCCUGGUCAGUUGCAAUUCGAGCAAUGCGGCACUCAUUGGUACAAAACGCAGAGUCACUGCAUUACAAUAAAUGUUAGUCCAAAUGCAAGAAUCUGAUUAACACUACAAAGUUAAUACUAUUUUAUUGACAACUUUAGGGAAUUAAUUACAGAAGCGCCGAUAACAUUGCUAACCAUAUUAUUUAGUUGAUAUAAGCAAGGGCAAAUGAGUUACCCAAAAUUGAUAUGCUCAGUAGCAUCUUAAGAGCAGCUUGAAUCACAAUAAAUAUUUUAAGUUCAAUAGCUUUGUAUAAAGAAAACAAAACAUAGAAAGAUCUUGUUAUCAUGCCAAAAUAUGCUGAUGUCUUGAGGCUAAAGUUAAGAUCAAUCCCCCCACCAAUAUUAAGAUCAGAGAGAGAAAGGCCAAGGUCCUAUGUGACUGAGGUAAAAAGCGUCAUUAUAGAGAAGCAGCGAUCAAUUUCAAAUCUAAAAUGGUAAACAACUAUAGAAAAGAAGAAAAGGAUUUUUUUUUUUAAUCCUUUUUGAUAGGUAUCAACAAGCAAAAAGAUUAGAAAAACAGAAUAGUCUAUAUCUAAGUUCCAAUCACCUGUUUGACUGCUGAAAUCUGAUAAGUAAAAUACACAUGAGCAUUUCUUACUCCUCCUUUCACUUCUAAAAGGAAAGCUUCAGGAUAUGGAUUUAUUAUUUGGAAGAACUAAAUAUCAAUGACGGAAAUUCUUAAACAGGCACGCAUAUGUAUAGACUGUUUUAUGUAAUCUUGAAACUACUAUAUGGUUCAUAGGUAUUCAUUUUCCCAUUUCCCUGCGGAACUCUCUUUUUAUAAGGCUUUUAUUUCUUUCUCCCCAUUUAUGAUAUCCUAUUCCUUUUUUGUUCUUAUAAAAGCAGUUAAAAUGUCUGCUCUCACCCUGUACUCUGUUUUUCUACUACUUACUAGAAUAAAUAGAGCCAACAAAACAUUCUGAGGGAUGACCGCUUUAUUGAGCUGAAUAAAUUCGUUUUCUAAUCAUUUACCUUCAUUAAACCACAGGCAUUGAAAAUAAUUUUUUUUUUUUUCAAUUUUAUUACCAAUUGAACAUAGAAUAGACAAAACUUCAGCAUACAAAUCGCAGAUACAAACUGAAAAAAAAAAAAAAAAAAAAAAAAAAAAAAAAAAAAAACUUUCCUAGACAUGAAGAUAUCAUCAUUCUCAGUGAUUUUCAGCAAAUUAGUCUGCAAACAAUCGUUAACCUAAAUUCCUUGUUUUUUUUUUAAAAUUUUACUUUUAUAAACAAUAAUACAAAUAACACAGAGAUACAAUCCUCAAAUAUAUCUCCAAUUACAAUUAAUAUCACUGUAAGCAAUAACAAUAGUACUAAAAUUAUGGAAUUGUAACAAAAAAGAAAGGGAAAAAAACAAUGACAUAGAUCAUGACGAAAAAUAGAUAUCAACAAGCCUCACCGGUACAUGUAGAUAUCCUUACUCUGGUCCAACAUUUUAUUGCACUGGGAGCACCUCUCGAAACCACUGCGCUCCGCCUCACACAUUAGAGGUGGAGACGACACUGUCAGGACACUCUGGCGAGACUGAUCAGGAAAAUUAGCCGGCAACGCGGCACCCAAACGGAGCUCCGGCGAAGGAUGCUGAUUCAUCACGCCAACGUCUAGAAAACUAUUUGAUUGACCGACUCGAGAUCGCUUUUUCGGCAUGAUUGGUCAGGGAGAUUUAGGGUUUUGAAGAACCAAAAAAAUGAUCUGUGCUGGGAAAUGGAGCGAACCUUGAGUGUGUGAAUUGUCCGUGAUAGUGAGUUUGGCGUGUCAGAAUUCAUGGUACUUGGUAGCCUUAUAUAGGCUACUGUGGGUCCCUGUCAAUUUCCUUCCUUCAUUUAAGGACGCGUUUUUUUAAUUCAUUUCGGGGCGUCUAAUUAUAUGCGGUGUGAUUCAUGUUAAGGGUCCAGGGACGUUCCCAAUAAACCAAUAAGAAUGCAAGAUUCGUAUCUUAUACUAGCAAAUUUCCGUUAUUGCAAUUAAGACUUUUUAAAUUUUAGUUUGGAUCGCGAGUUAGAUUAAUAUGUAAUUAGGCGAUUCUCCUCUACUUGAAUAAGUUUUGGAGAAUGAGUAGAAUUCCGUUUAUUUUAUUAACAUAAUUCAUGUUCAACUGUAAUUGAAAAUUUUUAUUUAAAGAUCAAUAUCAUAAAUAAUUAUAGAUUUUUAAUAAUUAAGUAAUCGAAUCAAUUAAUAUUAUCAAAAUCAUCUUAAAUAGCUAAUUCAUUUUUUUAAAUAAACAAACACACGUAGAAUCAUAUUUUUAUUUAUAUUAUAAAUAUAAAUUAUGAACAUUUAUAACAUGGACUUUCUUGCCAUAUCUAUCUAUAUCAAUAUAUAAUUUGUAGAGUAUAAAUACUUAUGUGGCAACAUAUUAUAAUAUGAAAGUAAAUGUGUGACAUUUUAUUUUUUAUUAUAAUUAAACUUUUUUUAUUGCAUUUAAUAAAAAUUAUUUUUUUUAUUAAAUAAUAGGGUUACUAACUAAUGAAUCUAAUGGAGGAUCUCAUUAUAAUUAAUAUUUUUUGCAUUUAAUAAAAAUUAAGUUUUUAUUAAAUAGUUUUUAUUUUAUAAAAAAACUAAUGGGGUUAUAAUAGAGUGAUGGUUAAUAAAAAUUAAUUGAACAAUAUAAUUACAUUAACAAAUAUAAUUGAACUAUAAACUUUAAUUCACUAAAAUUUCAUUUCGCUGAAAUCAAAUAUUUUUAUACCUCAUUUAAUUUGGAUAUAUGAUAAUUUUAAAGAGAAAAAAUAAAUAAUUAAUUAAAGAUAUCAGUUGAAUUAUAAUUAUUAAUUAUGCUAAUUAAUAUUUCAGUUUAUUAAUUGAGAUAAAAAAAUUAAAAAAGAGUGUAUAAUUUUAUCUUUCAUUAUUUAAUCAAAAAAUACAUGAGCAAAUUAUUUUAAUUAAAGCAACACAAAUAUAAAUUAUAAUAAUUUUUUUAAUUAUUUUUAAUUUAAUUAAAAAAAAGAUUUAGUGUGAGAUGAAUGGCUCGCACCUCAAUUAGAUUUGAAUGAAAUUAAAUUUUGUAAUUUUAUUUACAGAUUCCCAGAAUAUAAAUUGAGAUUUUGAUGUUGAUAGUUGAUGGCAUAAACCAUUUUUGUUUUGCUGAAAUUGCUUUCCGUAUCAGCUUGCAUGCCUCCUGAUUUUAUGGGAUGUUAGUCAAGUUCUCUAUAAUCUUGCAGCCAAUUUCGAGAAAACAAUCAACUAUGAAUUGACUCCCCGUAGCAACUUGUACUUAAUUUCCGUUUUGCUUAUCUGUUUUAGAUGCUUCAUACUACAAUGCCUUCAAGUAAAAUCAAGACACUUACUUUAUCAUAAUUUUAAUUUCUCAAUGCAAUAGCUUGUAAUGUUUUAUAAAUACUAUGUAAAAGAUAAUUAUUUUUUCUGAAUGUUCUUUUACAAUUAUUUUAUGCAUAGAACCUCCUUGUACCAGAUAUGAAUGCUACUAUUGUUUUUGUUUUGUGUCUUAGAAAAAAUCUCGUAAAAUUUUCAAAAACAAUUGAUAAGAAUUUGAAAUUAAAAGCUUAUAGCUACAACAAAAAAUUAUUCAGCUUAUCAAGAGAAAGCCAUUAAUUUUAUGUUAAAACAAAACGACAAUGUCGAAUCGAAUGUCGUAGGAGGUGAAUUUAGCUAUUUUCAAAGAUGUUAAUAUUUUUUAAACAAAUUUCAUUCAAAUCUAGAUUAAGAAAAAUUGAUGAUUAAAAAUAUUGUGAUAGAAAAUAAAACAUUUAUGAAUGAUUGUUCACUUAUUUGAAUUUUUUAAGAAAUAUUAUGAAAUUAAUUAUAUUUAUUCGAAGAAGAUUUCAUUAUUCCUACCCAUGCGCAUUUGGGCAAUUGACAUUAUACCUUUUUUUCUUUCUUCUGAGAGACCGUAAAUUGAUGCUGUCUAGCCUGUCGUCUUUAAUUUUCAAAUCCCAUAGUUUAUGGUCUUUUUAUCAAAUUCCAGUGUUCACGAUUCUUUCAUUUGCUUCCAGGAACCCACCCCUCAAUGGCAAUAUGUAGAUUCCCUUCCCUUGAAACCCAGAGUCACCUAUUGAUCCAAAUGGAGCACUCAGAAAUCAGAACUAAGCGAGUGGACUUUCCAUCUCCGACCAUUGACAGGUUCUUUAUAGUAGCCUAUAUUUUUUAUCUGAUACAAAGAAGCUUUUUUAGUCGUUUUGAGAAACGGCAGAUGUUUAACAGUAAAAGCAGCACCCAAACAAGAAGAAUAACUAGAAUUUAUCUCUUUAUUAAUUAUUAAACCAGAAGCCACUAUAGUCCGCAGCAGUGAUCUUUCUCUUUUCUUAAAGACUAAUUUACACAUGUACCUUCACCUUUCAUUAUUUAUUCACCAUACACAGCACUAUUUACAUUAGUAAACCCUCAAGGUCGAUGUCACAGUCACCCCAAAAAGCCGAAACACUUGCCAUCACGUUAUUAGCUUCUCAUGCCACAGCAUGACCCUCGAAGGAACCUCUCCUUGGCCCUGGAAAGAACCACUCCUCGUUUUGUCUUCCAAAAGCCUGAUCCACUUCUCUUUCACUUACACCGAAGGCUAACUCUUUGGCUUGCUUCUCCAUCUUAUUUACAAUAUUAUUUUUCCCUGCAAGUAGAUGCCUAGUAUUGCCUUCUUCAUUAAUCUCAAAGCAGACUACUUCCAGAUUAUUGUUUCUUGAAGCUACAAAAGCCGCCGGAUGGCCUGCAGGGACGACCACUGCUGUUCCACGUUUCAACCGUGAACUUACUUUCUGGUAAGUCUUCUGACUUUCACCCGUCGUGUCUCCCCGCGAGCCGCUAAGGUGAGGACAAGCCAUUUCAAAGU